GUGCCGCACCUGGCAUGACCACCCCUUUAGUCCCGGUUGAACGACCCAGGACUAAAGAUCUCCGCGUCUCAAAAAUUUUAUCUCGGAUGCUUUUUAGAGAGAUUUGAGGCCUAUCAACCAAGACUAAUAUCGAGUUUUCUACCAGUGAAACUAACUAACGUUCACAUGGUUUUGACAUUCACCUGCCAUUUGGUGUAGACAAGGGCACCCUAACAUAUGGUUAAUAUUAUUCUUGAAAGAAAAUCCUUUGAUUCAAAAUACUUCAAACCUAAUAAUACAAUACUUCUCACAUCUGAAAAAUAUGAGACGGCCCGACAGUAUUCUAAUCGACGCAAUAAUAUUUUGAGGGCAGCACUACUACAGCGACCCUCAUUCGUGCCGGUGCUGGGACUCCUAUCACGACCCUGAUACAAAUGAGGGUACAUUAUUGGUGCCAGUGCUAGAACAGCCACGAAUAACUUGCUAAACGUGCUGUUACACUCACUACAGGGACCAAGAAGGUAGAUAAAUUACACGACAUAGCCUUGGUUGCCGUGGAAGCGCCAAGAAGGGAGACAAAUUACAGGGACCACACCAUCAAGUAGAUAGUGACAAUAUGCAAAAGAAUACCCGCGCCUGUUAGCAUGUGAACUGACCACACCACGAAACGUGAUACACGGCAAGCGUACCAAGGCCUUGCUGUGCAGACUAUGCAUGGACAACACAUGGUACCUGACCGCUUUUGGCCUCAGACACAUCGAAAAACUGCAUCGUUCCACGUUGUACAUCCAUUGCUAGUUUAUCUAUAUUACAUAAUAUAUUAUUAGCUAUUUGAAUAGAAUGAACCAAUUAAAAAAUUGCGUUGUAUUUUUAGUACCGGCUGCAGGAUGGUGUUACCAACCAGUACUAAUUGGCCUGUAGGAGUGAUGGUUAUUAGACUUGGUACUGUUGUUAGCAUCAUUAACCUAAUUGUGCGCCGUAUGAAUUUGGGGAUGCAAAGCUAGCUCUCUAUGAAUGUGAGGGAUGGAAAGCUAGUUCUCUAGUAGUAAUUAUAUAUAUGACAGUCAAGAAAUCGAACACUAUGCUGCUACGAGUCACCAUCAUUUCCUUCAUUGACAAUCUGACAUAGGUGAAGCUGCUUCAAUAAUUUCCUUCGCGCAGUCGUGGAGCUUAUUGGAUUAUCACCAGGACGGGACACGGAAAUGGCCAGCAAUGAAGCUGAUUGCCGUCUGAGGAAGACUACAUACUUACCUAUGAAAUGAAGCGAUUGCAUAGACUAAUGAAGCAUUGCAUAUUUGCAUGUGAGUGUGGCAGAUAAUUCUGCAGGACAUGAUUGCAAUCCACGCACCAUCGAGAAGACUGGGGCGAUGGGGUUGCCUCAUCAAUAAUCACGUGGAUGCAUGCAUGCAUGUUCCCGCAACCGGACAAGGGUCUGAUAUAUGGCUAUAGUAUUACUGAGCCCACAUCAAUAAUUUCCACUGGUGUAUCGUGUGGGAAGAAUCAACAUACUACACCUCGAGUUCUUGGAACUAACUGACGUUCACAUGCAACCUCCACAAGGUGCUGUAUGCUUUUGACAUUCACCUGCCAGUUCGUGUAGAGAAGGACACCCUAACGUAUAGUUAAUAUUAUCCAUUUCAUGAGUAAAAUACUGUGAUUCAAAAAUACUUCAAAUCCCUUGAGACAAUACUUCUCACUUGACUAACCACUAACCAACCCCGAAACCCUAACUCAACUCCGAACCCUAACCCCUAACGGCAUAACCACUCCGUUUUGCCGGCGAGAUGGAGGAACUGGCUGGAAGGUAGAGAGGGCAGCGGUCCAGGGUUGAAAACGACGGGCGAGCGCAGUAACAUGUGGAGGAGGAAGUGCCACGUAUUCGUUCACCGCUAUUGGGCAGCGACACACGACACGCCCAAUAAGAUCUUCGCACGGUAGAAGGACGUCAUGUAUUCAAUAAUGUUAUUGGUCCCCCAUGUGCAGAAGGGCGCGCGCGUAUGGAAUAACAAGUAGGGACACUGCAACUAAUCUACUCUGCUCGUCCAGUCCCUAGCCUAUAAAUAGAUGCCAUGCUAGCUCUUGUUGUGCUCACAAUUAAUCCGAUUACACACGAGCUUCUCUCCCUGGCCAAGACACAACCAUAGUAUGAUGAAGAACAUGGCACUAGCCGGCAAUGGUAUGAAGAAGUUAAUCCUCGCUGUUCUCUUACUGUGUCUAGUUAUAGGGCAGAUACAAGUGGAAGCUAAGAGCUGCUGCCCAUCCACCACUGCAAGAAAUGUCUACAAUACCUGCCGUUUCACGGGUACAUCCCGUCCAACGUGUGCAAAACUGUCAGGCUGCAAAAUUAUCAGCGGGAACAAAUGCAAGCCCCCUAACGACCACCUCACCCUUGACCCGGACACUGGUAAAUAAUAAAUUUAUCUCACUUGAUUUCUUCGUGAUUUGAGUCGUUAAUGUAUUUUCCAUCUGAUGAAACGUAUUGGUUUUGCAUUGAAGAGGAAGUUAAUGUGCUUAACUUCUGCAAGUUGGGGUGUGCGUCGUCUGUGUGCAACAACAUCAACGCUGGUAAGCAACUUUUGCUCAGACAGAGAAAACAAUAAUCAUUAAUUAGCGGCAGCUAGAAUCCUAUAAUCUAAUAUAUAUAUAUAUAUAUAAUUUUAUCAGCUCUGGGAAAUGAAGAGGCGAACGAUGCCGUUGAGAGUUGCGACCAAGCCUGCUCUAGCUUCUGCAGCGUGCAUGUUGGCAGCGCCACCGUGGUUGCUUAAGCAAAUGCAUCCAACUAGAUCGUCCUUGUGCUGAAUAAUUGGAUAUCGUAUCCACUUAAAGCUGCCUUGUGUAGUACGUCUUUGUGUCUCUCUUUAUAUUCCAAUAAGGUCGGUGAUCUUGAUGCCACACACUCAGAUGUGUGUUCAUCUCCAGAUACUACUCCAUGCUACCUGCCCUUUGUGUUUUGUUCAAUAACUGGGUAUCAUAUCCCAGCCAGUAUGCCGUCUGUUUUGUGUUUGUUUCCUUCUAGUUCCAAAGGGGUCAUCAUGAUGUUACCUUCUUUCAAUAUGGUGCUUUGCAUGACUACUGUUGUAUGGUACCAUCUUGUGGCCAAUAAGUACAUCUUAUCCUAUGACCUUUGCUAUGACCCUUUGCAAAUAAGUAGAAGAUUGUUAUAAGCGUCAAUACUCCGUAUAAAUUGAUCGCUGCUGUGAGUUCCCUUUCAGCUUAUCGUAGGCAUACAUUAUUGCUAGCACGGUAAAGCCAACCAACACGAAUGAUGAAGUAAACGUAGCGGUACUUCUGUAUACCAACACCCUUACUUAAAUGUACCGGUGUCAUUCCCUACUGGCACAUAUAUUCUUAUAUGCUAGCCAGCUUGUAAAAUUAACCAAUUAAAAUAAUUAUUUCAAGAUAGAAAUAACUUAUCGGUUUCUGGAAGCAUGUGUAAUGUGAAUUCAAGGACUCGACGGAAGUUGAAUCACUUCAUCUAUAUUGCUUUCAGUAUUUUGGGUAACUAAAUUUAACAUUUGCACAUACAAAUGUUAAAGUACAAAUGUUAAAUCUAGUUACCCAAGCAGAAUAUGAAGAUAGUUUAUAGUAUAUAUAUACUAUAUAAAUCUAGUUAACAUUUAGUCUAAAUGUUAAAUCUAGUUACCUAAAAUCCUGAAAGCAAAAUGUAUAAAUAUAUAUCUUUUAAGGCAGUAUAAGCUUCGAUUCCUAUUGCUGCUCUGUUAAAUCUCAUCUUUCGUUGUGGCCCAACACUCUAGUAUGCAUGUUGCACCAAGCUUCUUUGAGCCGCUCUGCCCUCUGAUUUUGCUGCGUAGGGGAAUCUUUAUCAGGUUGGGCUACUUCCAGUUGUGCGAUGUAAAGAUUCGUAUUUUCUAGAAGGUAGACAAAAAACUCGCGUUCUCUUAAGGCAACAACCGGAAGAUUCUGCAGCGCACAGGGCAUACCAUUAUUGUAGAAACGACCUUUAGUACCGAUCUCCAACCCCCUUUAAAACUGGUUUUGCAACCGGUACCGUUAUGUCGGUCCUUUAGUACCAGAUCAAAUAAGUACCGGUUGGUAACCAGUAUCAACUUGUUUUGCGGCCAAAAAAAUAAAGAAAAAAACAGUCAGAAGGCUCGCACACACGCGCAUCACAUGAAAUAUGCGUGUGCGGGGUCCAUGGGAUUCGAACCCAUGAAAUCAAGCUGCACGCGACCCUUCGUUACCAUCUCACCUACAUAGCGCAUAUGCUUUCCUGAAGUAACCCGUGGAGGAGGCUUUAGUACCGGGUCAUAACACCACCCGGUACUAAAAAUGACUCUUCAGUACCGGGUCAUAACACCACCUGAUACUAGUAUCGGAUGGUGUAAUGACCCGAUACUAAAAGGCCUCUAGGGACCCUCAAAUUUGAACCCGGUACUAAUGCUAAUAUUAGUAGCGGGUCAAAGUGCAGCCAGAACUAAAGCAUGGGAUGAAAGGUCAUAUUUCUAGUAGUGUAUAGUUGUUGUGAAGGACUGACUUGGCUGUCCUCUCUCUUCUCCAUCCCCUUGGUCUUACGCCGCCGCUCGCACGCGAGCCGGUGCCCAACCAGAGGAGUGAGAGCUAGGGGCAGGUUGGGAGGUGGGGAUAGUGACUGGUGGCCAGGGUGAUGGUUGAUCCUGGUGGGGUUAGGGUUUCAGGGUUUUCGAGCUUCCUAUGGUCGGCGAACCUAGAGGAGAAGCUCAACAUCAGCUGCAACCCGCGAUGGUGGUGGUUUGGCCGGCGCCCGAGGCGAGGCAGCGCGGGAGUGCUGCCGGUGGGUUGGUGUUGGCACUCAUUAUUGACAACUAUUUUGUUCAUAAAAUAACACUCAAACUUGCUGCUGCUGCUGCUGCCAUCGCCACCCUAGCCAUAAUAUAAAGGCAAAAUUUGCUAAAGGACAUGCAAAAUGAUGCUAGUUUGCUGGCGGGCAUCGUUGACCUUGUAAUAUGCUACAAGACACUCUAGUUGUGUAUCAAUUUGCUGAAAGACAUUGCUAUGACUAAAAUAAUGUUUCUGGACUGAGUUGGAGAGAGAGAUGGAGUGAAAUGUCUGUUUUGCCCAUGACCCCACUGGUCAGAUCCUUCUUCUUCCACCCUCCUUUGUUCUUUCUUCAACCAUUACCCAGCUCCAGCGUGUUGCAGAUCUACGAGGGUGGCGGCCUGGGGCGAGGGGCAUCGCUCGCCCUUGGAGGAGCGCUGCGAGCGACGGCGCGGGGGCGGCAACAGCGCGUCAGAACCUGACUGUUCGUUAGCUCCUCUCGCUGCUGGGGAAGAAGGAGGGGGAUGGGCCAUGGACGGGGUUCCCUUGAAAACCUCAGCGUCGAGCUCGGGCGGCUACGCGCAGGCAGCACUAGGCUGCUUCACGGGGAGGGGGCGCGGCCAAUCAUUGGCACCCCACUGGUCCAAUGCUGAUGAAGAUGGUGCCAGCGUCGUGUGAGGACAUCUCAUCUCCUCGAGUUCCAUGGCCAGCACAGGUGAGCUGCCGCUACCACAAAACAGAGGUUUCGUGAGAGUCAAAAAACCUUAUGAAAAUAGCUAAAACCAUCAUGAAAAUAAUCCGUGACAUGACACUCUCACGAAAAUCCUCUCACAAAUAUGGUGCCAUGAAAAUACCAUUUUCAUGAGAGUGAACUGUCAUGAUUUUAUAAGCGUCAAUACUCGGUAUAAAUUGACUACUGCUGUGAGUUCCCUUUCAGCUUAUCGUAGGCAUACAUUAUUGCUAGCACGGUAAAGAGAACCAACACGAAUGAUGAAGUAAACGUAGCGGAACUUUUGUAUACCAACACCCUUACGUACCGGUGUCAUUCCCCACUGCCACAUAUAUUCUUAUAUGCUAACCAGCUUUGAAAAUUAAGCGAUUAAAAUAAUUAUUUCAAGAUAGAAAUAACUUAUCGGCUUCUCGAAGCUUGUGUAAUGUGAAUUCAAGGACUCGAUGGAAGUUGAAUCGCUUCAUCUAGAUUGCUUUCAGGAUUUUGGGUAACUAAAUUUAACAUUUGCACACACAAAUGUUAAUGUACAAAUGUUAAAUCUAGUUACCCAAGCAGAAUAUGAAGAUACUCUAUAGUAUAUAUGUACUAUAUAAAUCUAGUAAACAUUUAGUCUAAAUGUUAAAUCUAGUUACCUAAAAUCCUAAAAGCAAAAUGUAUAAAUAUAUAUCUUUUAAGGCAGUAUAAGCUUCAAUUCUCUGUUAAAUCUCAUCUUUCGUUGUGGCCCAACACUCUAGUAUGCAUGUUGCACCAAGCUUCUUUGAGCCGCUCUGCCCUCUGAUUUUGCUGCGUAGGGGAAUCUUUAUCAGGUUGGGCUACUUCCAGUUGUGCGAUGUAAAGCUUCGUAUCUUUUAGAAGGUAGACAAAAUACCCGCGUUCUGGAAGAUUCUGCAACGUGCACGUUGGCGCUGCCACCGUGGUUGCUUAAGCAAAUGCAUCCAACUGAAUCGUCCUUAAGCUGAAUAAUUGGAUAUGGUAUCCACUGCUUAAAGCUGCCAUGUUUAGUACGUCUUUGUUUUUCUCUCUUUAUAUUCCAAUAAGGUCGGUGAUCUUGAUGCCACACACUCAGAUGUGUGUUUAUCUCCAGAUACUACUCCAUGCUACCUACCCUUUGUGUUUUGUUCAAUAACUGGGUAUCAUAUCCUAGCCAGUGUGCCAUCUGUUUUGUGUUUGUUUCCUUCUAGUUCCAAAGGGGUCAUCAUGAUGUUACCUUCUUUUGAGGUGUCUAUGAUGACUUCGUUAAUAUCAAUAUUAACCAAUUCAAUCUGUCUUAACUAUUUGUAAGGGGUAUGAUGUAUGCAUGAUUAUAACAAUGAUUGCGCAUACAAUCGCCGCCAAAGAAACGGUCAAUACCAUUAAGACAUAUUACAGACAAUUCUCAUAAUCUAUAAUGAAUAUACAUAUUCACUACUGCAGAAGACUGUCAUUUGUAUCGGCUCAUACGUGCCAGGGCAAAGGUCACCCUUGCAUUAAGUACAUUUGCACGGUAAAGACAACCAACACGAAUAAUGAAGUAAACAUGCCGGUGCUUUUGUACACCAACACGCUUACUUAAAUGUACUGGUGUCAUUCCUCACCGGUAGCCGGCUUGAAAAUUAACCAAUUAGAACAAUUAUUUAUUGUAUCGGUGUGAUUUUUGACCUAUUGGAAUAUGAAUUUGACCGUUACUGCAUUCGUCAAGACUCAAGAGAGAAAUAACUGAUCGGCUUCUUAGAGCGUGUGCAAUGUGAAAUCAAGGACUGGAUGGAAGUUGAAGCGCUAGCACUAGUAGAGAAACGACUUUCCAUCCACCCCCUUUUGUCCCGGUUUAAAGUUGGCUCGGGAUAAAAGGUUCACCAACCGGGACUAAAACUCAGUCACUGGUGGGAGGCUCACCAACCGGAACCUUUUAUCCCGGUUGCAAAGGCUAAUGGGAAAAAAAGACUCUGAGAGGCCUUUUAUCCCGGUUUGAAACACCAACCGGGAUAAAAGACCCCCCUUUUAUCCCGGUUGGUAACACCAACCGAGAUAAAAGGGUCAAGAGCCUUUUAUCCCGGUUGGAAACACCAACCGGGAUAAAAGACCCCCUUUUAUCCCGGUUGGUGUUUCAAACCGGGAUAAAAGGGCCCCCACGAGGUGACUGGAAGGUGACUGGAAGGGGAUUAAAUCGUGGGGGACCCUUUUAUCCCGGUUGGAAACACCAACCGGGAUAAAAGGGGGUCUUUUAUCCCGGUUGGUGUUUCCAACCGGGAUAAAAGGGUCCCCCACGAGUUAAUACAAAAGGAUAGUAUCCCCUACAUAGUCAGAUGUGGUGUGUAGGUGGGAUGGUAAGGAAGCUACGCGCGAGCUCCGGAAUUUUUUUUUUUUUUUUUUGCAGCGUCGGCGCUCUCUACCCUUUUAUCCCGGUUGGUAUUACCAACCGGGAUAAAAGGGGGUCUUUUGUCCCGGUUGAGUGACCCGGGAUAAAAGACCCCCCCUUUUUUCCCCGGUUAGUUUAUCCCGGAUGCAUUUUCGGGAUAAAAGCACCCUACCAACCGGGAUUAAAGCUCACUUCUCUACCAGUGUAGCUUCAUCUUCCGCUGCAAGUUAAUUGCUUGGAUAAGAAGUUGUAGCCGCUGCAAGUUAUAAAUAGUCCCGCUGAUGCUGUGCUCCGAAGUCUAUACUAUAUAUGCGGAAACUAGAUUGCUUUCAGGAUUUUGGGUAACUAAAUUUAACAUUUGUACAUAAAAAUGUUAGUUUACGAAUGUUAAAUCUAGUUACCCAAGCAGAACAAGAAGAUAGUAUAUAGUAUAUACUAUAUAAAUCAAGUUAACAAUUAGUCUAAAUGUUAUAUCUACUUACCCAAAAUAUUGAAAGCAAAGAAAGAAUAAGUAUAUAUCUUUUGUUGGAAAAUUGGUCCACGGAGAGGCCCAUUUAGGCCUCGUUCGUUUCACCGGGAUGGGAUUCCAGUCAGGAUUACUUCCAAGUUCGGUUUGAGUGAUUCCACCCGUGUCACUCAAUCCGGCUAGGAUUCAUUCUAUGGGUGAGGAGGUAUGGUUUCAAUCCAGGCCAUCUAAUGUAGAAGGAUUCCAAUCCAGGCCGGUUUUCGUUCCAGGCCAGACUAAAACGAACAACACUUUCAAUGCAAGUCUGGUUUCAAACCGGGCCAUUUCAAACCACCCGGAAUGGACCUCGUUCCAGGCCAAUCCGGUGAAAACAAAUGAGGCCUUAAUGGAAUCCCAAAGCAAGAGUUCAGUGGCAUUCUAUAGUCCCAUGCUGCUAGUUUGAGUUGGUCGAAGCCAACUUAAAUAGGAGAGCUCUCUCACUUCUCUAAAUACGUAACUGAAGGAGAGAAGGGGGCUUGGGUUACACAACGCACGCACGCACGCAUAUUUGCGUUCUUUUCGCGUAACCAACCGCGUGACUUGAAACUUGCGACGUAGCGUGCUGCUAAGUCAAGUUGAUAUAACCUUUUUGCCGUUUGCAUGUAAUCUUUUGACAACGGUCAUUGGAGGUGAUAAGCACGCAGUCAAUACCUUAAUCUUGAGUUAAUAGGGUGGUUACUACUGCCAAUUAGUGGGGCAAUUUUGUAGGGGAAACGGUUAGCAGAGGGCUACCGUCUUCUCUAUAAGAAGUUCUGGAGACGUCCAGGAACACACAUGUACAUGUGAGAGACCCACAAAUUCCUUCCCUUCUCCCUUUUCCAUGUGGUGAAGUGUGCUGUGGUACUGAGCUGCUUGAUCUCGCCGCUCUUCUCCUUGGCAUGCACCGAGGAGGAGGGUGAGCGGUAUCUCCGAGCUAUUGCCGUCAGGAAGCCUGCACGAGGGACAACAAAAAGUUUUUGGGUAGCGCAACUGCCAGCACAACUCUCCCUCCGCCUCUUCUUCACGGUUGAUGGCCACCACAAGCAUAAACCUCGCCUUCGCAUCCACGCAAAAGGGUCGCUGGGGUGCCUUCUUGCAUCGCUUCUCAGCCUCCUUGACUUGCGGCCAGCCAAGAACUGCGCCACCACCUCGGGUGCACGCCACCACUCCAGGGCUGCUACCCCAUGCCUGCGGCCGCCGCCGGCCACCACGCGUGUGCAACCGCGUCGCACCGCUUCCUUGCUUUGUGCCACCACUGCUGCUGUACCACCAGCUCCACCACCUUGGGCUGGUCGCCAGAGUGACUGAUAACUUAUUAUCUGUAACUACUAUUAACUCAGGGAUACAUGCGUCUUUUGCUUCUCCUACUAAUAUGUCCUAAAAUAUCUAGGAUGCCUUAUAUUUCUGGACAGAGGAAGUAUUUGAAUAAAAUGAACCAAUUUAAAAAAAUGUGUUGUACACUACUACAGAAAGACCUAUCAGUGUCAAACCCAAAAAUGUUGUCACCGCCAGUUUUGGGCAUCAUUGGUGAAAGGUUGGCGGUGAUGGGCUUUCCCUUCAACAACGGCACUGGAGCCGACGGUGAUUGACAUUAGAAAACAAAAAAGGGGACCCUACCUAGCCACCCCUGCAACCCGGCCGGCCGUGCCUCCCCUCAUCCCCACCACCUCGCCUCCCCAUGACCCCCCGCCGGCGCCCUUGCGCCUAGCCCCCUCAACUGCCCAGCCGGCCACCCUCAUCACGAGAGAGAGGUGCAUGUUGUAUAAUUGCGUGAAUUUUUUAAUGUUUAAUUUCAUGUAAGUUCCGUGUAAUAAAUUGUACAAGUUUUAUUGUAUAUAUGAAUUCCAUAUAUAUAUAUAUAUAUUUAUAAUUUAAUGUAUGGUUUCAUGUGUAUAUUUCAAUCAUGUGUAUAUUUAGUAGAUUGCCGAUUUUCUUUUUCUACUAGACAAGGGUUGAUGUAUAAUUACGUGUAUAUGUUUAUUGUACGGGCAAUUAGGACAAGUUUUGUAUAAAUUUCUUUUAUUUGAUGGUUGUUGUAUGGUUUCAUGUAUAUACAUUUAUUGUACUACUUUAGACAAUUUUUAAUUUAAUGUUUCUAUGAUUAGAUGUGUGUAUAACUAAUUGUAUUAUUAGUUAAGAUGGGAGCUAAAGAGGAUGAAAGGUAUAUAAUGGAGCAGAUUAUUGCUAGCUCAAACGUUGCAAGAACCUACACCGAGGGUGAGGGUAGCUAGGUGGACAUGUACCUCAACAUGUCCAGUGAUGGCAAUGACGAUGAGGAGCACGAGCAUGACAUCUAUGAUAAUGCGGAACAAGACAUUGCAGAAUUGGAAGGUUCUAAUGAGGUGUGCUUCAUGUUGACAAUCUAGUUGGCUUUUUUUCGUUGGUCACACCUUAGUUACCAUAGAACUUCGUCUCGGGAGAAGAUUGGUGGUGGUAUGGUGAUUGGAAUUUUAUUUCCACGAAAUCUGAUUUCCAUCGAAUCAUAUCCCUUGUAUUUAUCUUCUUUUUAUUUGUGAGAGCAUCUUCUUUAUGCUUGCAAAACAAUUCAAGUGCACAUACUACCCCUAGGGUGACGAUUGGGAGUAGAAAUAAUUGCCAACAAAACAACACCACAUCCUAAGAUUCUUAACUUGUGGCAUAAUUAGUCUAGUAAAAAGAAAGAUAAAAACCUAAUGGGUGUAUGUGAGUGCAAUGUGUAUAUGCAUAUGAGUGGAAGGCAUAUAAGCAAAGACAAUAUUUACACAUAGUUCUAAACACCAUGUUUACAGCUAGGUUGCUGAAUUUCUCCAUAGCCAUAGAGAUUAAUUAACCAAGGUCAAAACACGAUGUCUAUCCCAAGAUCAGUAAUUAUUUAUAGCACAAGAAAAAGAAAGCGCAUUGCAAAGUUUAUAAACCAACCAAUACAGCAUGAAAACAAGAUGAAUAGCUAGCAAGGUUUAUUAAACUGAAUGAUGACGGUCUGUAAGCAAGUUUAAACACCAUCUUUACACAAGAUUGCAAAUGGAAAAUGCCCAUAUGAAGCACUAACAUGGAUAUGAAAUCAUUCAUCAUAAAGCGUAAAGAACAACCAAGCCAACCAUAUGCAAAGCAUGAAUGGAAUGCAAUGAAGGUGCAAGAGAACAUUUUUGGAUGAACACAUUAUGAUGAUGGCAAAAUGCAAUGCAUGCAGAAAAAAUAAAUAUGAACAUGAAUAUGAUGAUCAGGGGCGGACCCACUAUUGUGGCCUGGGUAUUCCUCGGCAUACCCAAUAUUUUUGGGAAAAUGUUUAGUAGUUUUUAAUGGCAUAUACAUGUAUAAUAUAGUUUAGGUGUUAAAAUUGAUAUUCACAGCUAUUUUGGGCUCCAAUUCGCGUCCAAACCAACCUGGCCCACAGACCGCACCCGGCCGCCCGGCCCAUCGGCCCAUCUUGUCACUGAUCCUCCCACCACCACACUCAGCCCGUCAGUUAGUCAGGUCCCGAGCUCCUGCCUGACCUAGUCCGCUACCACCGCCAGGCGCCAGGCACAGCUGUACACGCCGCCCCCGUCCACCCACGUCCGCCGCACGGCCGCGUCGCGCCCCCCCCCGGCGCCCGCUGCUGCCAGAACCCAUUAGGCCUCCACCGGCAAGUCCACCCACAGUCCCGCGCGACGCGGCAGCCUCUUGGCUCUCGGCGCUCGCGGCGCGCCAAUGCCUGCGCAGCCCCAGCAGGCGACUGCCCCCCCCCCCCCCGCAUCGGGCCUCGGCCCCUCCCCAGCUCCCCCUCCCCCCUCCACCAGGACUGCCUGCUGGCCCCCACCGCGAGGUAAUCGAAAUGGACUGCUCAAUCUCUCAAUCUGUUGACAUGAUGCACACGGUUGCAAAAAUAGAUGUGUCAAAAUAGAUGUAUUGCCAAUUGCUAUAGAUGCAUAUGGUUGACAUGAAGAAGUCAAAAAUGACAUUUGGUUCCUUGUAGGCAGUCAAAAAUGAAGAAGUCAAACAAUAUUGAUCUGAAAUCAAUGCGGGAAAGGGCUACGAAGACACACGGGUAGAUUCCCUUGUGAACUUUUUAUGUCGUUCGUCUAAAUAUAUUUUUGCAAUGGGCAUACCCUACUCUGAAAUCCUGGGUCCGCCACUGAUGAUGAUGGUCUAAACAUAAAACAAGCCUAGAUUAAUUAGCUACAACUGAAAUUAAGCAAAGGUUAAUGUCAUUGACCCUAGCUCUAUCCUAGCUUUUACUAAAGUCCCGGCACAUAUAGUGGUUGGGCCCACUCUCUCUACUUCCCUCUCUGCUGCAUGCACACACACGAGCAACUGGAGGCCCAACAAAGCCCAGAAGGGUUCGGCCGAACCCGUCCGAUCCAGUCUGAGCGCCGCUCCCUCCCAGCCUUCGCGCAGAUGCUCCUCCAACGUUCCUUGACCCCUCCCUCAGUGUCCCAUUGGGUUUAACAUUGUAGGAGAGGAGUCCCUUUUUUAAAAUCUCAACCACCUCCUCUCCUCAUUCACUCCACUCUCAUCUCCAUCAAACUCACCAAGAUCCACAUCGGAAAUACCUGCUUACCACCAUGGCUGGCAAAGCCCUCGUCCCUUUCACCAACUUGGGCUUGACCAUUGAUCUCGAUGGGAAAAUCACUCCAGCAAAUGUCAUUGUCCCUGUCGGCGAUCUGGCGAUGGAGGAGGUCCAGGCACUAGAGGUCGAGCCCCUAGCCAUCAUACCGCCCAAGGGGUAAAGCAGGAGCAUGACAGGCGCUGCUAGGGGUUCAGCCGAACUCCCAGUUCAGCCAAACGAGGACGGCGUCGCCUCGGCCUCCCGCUCGACUGCAUGCUUCCCCUUGCCAAGGAGGACUCCAGAACAGCGGGCGCGUGCGUCAAGUCCCUACAAAAGGCUGAAAUACAAUGAAUAUCCAGGGUCACCCUUGAAGAUGGGUGAACGCUACGCCGGGUCCUUGUUUGACUAGUACGGCGAUGCAUUCUGCCACCGCUAUGUCGUUGUCGAGAUUAGCGGAUCAAGACUUAGACUAGUAAAUUUCUUUUAUGCGCGUAAGGCUUCAGAUGGUGGCGUGGGAGACAUGGGUUUUAUACUAGUUCGGGCAAUGGAAUACCCUACGUCCAGUGUCUGGAGCUGCUUGUGUUGCCCACGCGGGGUUCUGUAGUAGGGGUUACAGGUGUGCGAGAGAGGGAGCUAAUCCCAGGUCUCUUAGGCGUGUUCCGGUCCUCUAGAUGGGAGAAGUGUGUUCUGUUUGCUUGGGAGUAUCGGUUGUGUCUGAGUUGUCUCCGGAGCCUCCUCCCGUCUCAGGUCCCCGAUUCUCCUUUCAUAGCACAAGGAGACCAUCGGGGUUACAGACGAGACCGAGCGUGGGGAGGAGUAAAGAGAUAAACAUAGCUAGGUAAAAAUACAACAAGAAAGGGGGGAACCAAGUUUCUAGGUCACCGGCGUCCUCGCCGGCCUUCGACUUCCGCCGGCGCAUUUGUCGGAGGAGGGUGGCCGCCAUCGCGUUCUGUCGAUGGCUUCCUCGGUGACUGUAGCCACCGGGCGUGAUGAUGGCAUUUCGUCGUGACCCUUUGUCUGUUGGGGGAGGCGGCGGAUCCUGCCAUUCUGCUGACGGCUCGCGGAGUGCGAACGUCGCAUCCCUGCCGCUGGGCACGCGGGGCGCGAGAACGUGCGAGGCUUCCCCCUACCCCAGGCGGCGCAGGCCAUGAGUGCCCUGUGGCAAAUCGGAGGAGGCCGCAGCUACUGUAGCUUGUACUGUGCAGCCACGUAUGGGUACUUGUGGCAGGUUGCGUGGUGGAUGCGGAUAUCCUUCUCCCUGACAGAUCUGCGGCGCAUUUAUGGCGAGAUCGACAUGGGGACCCACAAGACCCGCGCCCAAGGCGGAUACUUGUCUGGAGGGCCCGGGUUAGCCUGACCCCCUACGCUUGGGGUCGGGCGAGGCGGAGACUUGCGGCGGGGCGUCGGACGCUCCCGACACUAGACCUGCGGUCGCGCAAGGCGGAGCUUGGUCUUCCGGGGGUCGGGGGUGCCGGACCCCAGGAUGCGGGGUCGGGCGAGGUGGAGCGUAAUUCUUGCCUCCCAUGUUGGGCCGAUGGCAGUCUUUGUUACCUCUAGUGGGCUUGGGCCUUUAUGUUUUGUUGUUUCCAUGGGCUUCGAGAGGUCGUUAAUAUUUCCCCCCAACAGUAGCCCCCGAGCCUGUGGUGGAGUGGGGGCGCUCCUCCGGAGGCUACUAUCAUCGCCCCUAGGGAAUCCUCGCAGUUGAUCCGGGAUAGGAGGUGUUGUUUGCACGGCUUGACCGAGGGGGUCGAUUAGGCGACGCAUCCUGUGAGCGACUCGGUGCGGGAGGGUUUCUUGUUGUUCCCUUCUGUCUGAGAGCCUUAAGUCGAGACCACCUGCGUGGCCUUUGGUUGCAAGGCCAGCCCCCGAGCCCCCGCACGUUGCAGGGGACCGGUCGGAGGCUAGGUCGACUUUUGUUCAUUACCCUCAAGCGUCUGUUCGCUAGGACGGAGGGGGCGAGCCGUGCCAUGCUAUCCUCAUCGGACGAACCAUGGUGCUCAUUGAGUUACUAACGGGUUGAUUCGAGUGGGAUCCCGGUCCCCGUUCGGGGGGGGUCCGGCUUGGGCCAAGCUGGUGGCGUACCCCAGGCUCCGGUCGGCCAGUUCAUAUAGUUCCUGAGUCCGUUCGGUCGGACCGGGGGCUCAUUGCCUUUCUUCGGGGAAAAACCAUGAACUUUGAUGCCGGUCCAGACUCGAAUGUGAGAUUGAGACGCCCGGGGCUGUCGCGUGCCCGGGUGAUGGCCGCUAGCGGACCCGUCUCCUCUCACCCCUCACUCGGGGGUAUCCUGAGGCGGCUGUCGAACCCGUGGCGGGCCAGCCUUCGAACCUCUGGAUCGUAAUGGGCCGUAGGGGCGUUUUCAGCCCCGUAUCCCUUUUUACCUUUUGGUGGGCCUUGGGCCGAAUCAUGGAGGAGGUCGGGCCUUGGGCCGGAUGCGGAGGAUGUCGUGCCUUGGGCCGGAUGUGGGGGACGUCGUGCGUGUCUUCCGGGAGACGAAGUGGUGGAGGGUGCCAACCCGCGAAUCGAGGGAGGAGGGGAUGUUUCUACUGCAGGUCAUGCGCACGGUUUCCGAAAAGGCAGCGGGCGUGACGGGACGUACCUCGCGCCGCAUUUAUUGCGAUGGGGGCGUCUGUUCUGCUUCCCUCGUGCCUUCCCUAUAAAACGAGGACUUCGCCUCGCCGGUUCCGCCCGCCAUCUACCUUCAAGCCUUUUCGCCUCCUCGCGCGCCCUUAGCUUUCCUGUGCCCGCUUCGUCUUCCUCCGCCCAGUGCCGCGCCCUUUCUCCCCAUCCGCCGUCGAGUUCUUCUCCCUCCGGCGAUGGGAUCCUGGGCGCGUUCCCACUUCGGCCCCUCACGCGCCGAAGGCCUAGUGAGGAAAGGCCUCCUUUGCGAGAGGACGGAGACGGAUGAGUGGGGGUUCCCUGAGAUGGAAGAGGUGCCGACUCCGCCCACCGGCUACGUCGUUUCCUUUGCCCACUUCCACGAGAGGGGGUUUGCGACUCCGCCGAGCCUCUUCUUCCGCGGGCUUUUGUAUUACUACGGGCUUGAGCUGCAGCACCUCAACCCCAACGGGAUUCAGCACGUCGCGGCGUUCGUUGCGGUGUGCGAGGGGUUCCUGGGCAUUGAGCCCAACUUCUCGCUGUGGAAGUACUUCUUCACGGUCAGCCUAUACCAGAAGGCCGAGAAGAGGGGAAGCCAGCAGCGGUCGACCCCGGUGCCGAUAGGGUGCGUCGGAAUCCACCUCUGCCAUACUCGCGCCAAGGAGUAUAUCGCGAUGAAGACCGCGGCAUCCCACAAGGGGUGGCACCAGCAAUGGUUCUACGUGAAGAACUACUCCAACCCCCCCUGCCGGAGUUCACCGGCCGCAUUAUUGAAGCGGCGCCGGAGGUGUGGGUGUACGGCCCGGUGGAGAAGGAGAAGAAGCGGAUCACCGGCCUGCUGCAGGCCAUCGAGCACCUGAAGGAGAGGGGACUGACCGGAGCCGGAGUCAUCGGGGCGUACCACGCCCGGCGGGUGGCGCCGCUGAUGCUCCGGGUCCGCUCGCUCGCCGACAUGACCCCCGGUGCUCUCACCGAUGGCACUGUCCUCGCGACGGGUGCUCUCGCUGCCUCCGAGAUCCGGCAGCGGAUCCGGGAGGCGCUGGAGGACAAGGACGCCGAUUACCCGGUGCCCGGCCACCCUCCGAUGCGCCCGGACGAGAAUUUCAUUGAUCUGGUAAGGAUUUUGCGCGCCAGUUUCCCUCUCUUGCGUUUCUUGGUAUGCCGUUCUGACGCGAGGCCCUCUGUGUUUGCAGGGUAGCAUGACCCGGGUCGUCGACUUGCGUCCGCCAGUGUCGGAGGACGCCGAGUGGCGGUAGCAGAACCGUCUCCUUGCCGAGAAGCAAAAGUGACGCAAGGACAAGAGACAGCGAAGAAGAAGAAGAGGGCCGCCAAGGAGUUCCAGCGGCGGCGGUGGGGAUAGGUCGUGUCGGAUGACGAUGACGAUGAGAAGGAGGAGGAGGAUGACGAGGAGGAGGAGGAGUUUAUCCUGUCCCCCCGGUCAGGGGCGCUUGUUAUCCGGGAGCCGCGCUCCCAAGCGGCCAUGGGGGACAAGGCGGGCGAGCUGCCUGCCCGGACCCGAUCCUGCGAAGCUUUGGGGGCGCGCCCCAGGGGUCGGCGCAGAGCGCCCCCCGGGGGUCGACGGAGCCGACCCCCAUCCCUACACCUGCAGCCCAGGAGCAGAGGAGCAGCGACAAGCGGCCGUUGCCAGAUGCCCCGGGGUCGGCGUCCAGCUCAGAGGCGAAGCGCGCGCGCCGCCCUUGCGCUGGGGGAACGUGAGUUGAAUUUCCUUGCGAAUCUCGUUCCUUUCCAUGCAUUGUGUUUGUUUCCGCUGAUGCUGUUUGUUGUCUCACAGCACCGCCCCUCAAGGCCUUGUCCCGCCGUUGGCGCCAAAGAAGGCGUUGCGGUGUUGUCGCCUCUGCGGGGCGGACCGCGGCUCCGCCGGCGGCGAGUGGCGGGGUCACUGGUGAGACCGCGGGUCCUACCGCGGAGGUGGCCCCUGCGGCGGCAACCGGUGGAGUGGUGCCACCGCCGGGCAUGGGACAGGGUCUGGACCCCGCUCCGUCCUCCGCCUCUUCGGCCGACCCCGCGGUGCAGAGUAUCGCUCCUGGGGGCCCUCAGGCCGGGGAGGUGAUUGACCUCGACGCCGACGAGGUGGAGGAGACGGCGGCGGUGGAGACGGGGGCGGUUGCCCCAGCGGCCAUGACGGGGACGACGACGGCGACGGGGGAAGGAGAGUCUACCCCCGCGGCCACGGCGGGGACAGUGGCGACAGAGGAGGCGGGGACGCCCGCCCCGGCGGCUGCGACGGAGGAGGCGGCGGUGACGGAGACGGGGGCUUCCGCCCGGGAAGCCACAGCCGAGGUGGCAGCGGCGACGGAGGUGAAAGUGCCUGUUCUGGAGGCCACGGUGGGGGUGGGGACGCCUGCCUCGUGGCCACGACGGAGGGCGAGGCGGCCCCAGGGACACUUGCUCCGGCACCCGCGUUGGAGGCGGUGGCGCCGACGGGUUGGCCCGUGGCGGCCUCGACGGGGGCGGGGGUGCGUGCGCCGGGACCGUCGGUGAGGCCGGCGACUUCCGGGAUGGUGGUGCCCGUCUUGACGGCGGCGGCGGCGCGGUCGGCCCCCGCCCUUGCCUCUACCACUCCCAUUCCCAAGGCGUGGAGCGGAUCCGUCCUGCGUUGGUCGUCUCGUGACGACCCGCAGAGGCCCCUCUUCACGUUGGAUGAUGCCACAGAAUGGGGCAAGUGGCAGGCGCUGCAGGGCGGACUCGCUAACGUCCGCGCCGCUCUAUCUUCGGCGUUGGGGGAGCUGGACGGCGUCAUCUUCCCCGGUGGCCGGGUAUGGUGCUUUCUCCGUUGGUUAUUUUCUUCCCGUUACUUCGUCCCUGAUGGCACAUUGUUCUGCAGGCCCUCCAAGAAUGUAGCCGGGGAAAAUCUGAUUUCCUUUGGCUCGAGCAGGGGCUCUGGGAGCGCUUCAACUUGGAGUUGCAGCGGACCGGGGAGCUGACCAUGCAAGUCGCCACCGUCUAGCAUGUCAUCGACGAUCUGCGAAGGCACGAGCAGGCGGCACAGGAGGACGCGCGGCGGGCGGAGGCCAAGUUCCAGGUCGUUGCCGAAAGGGCUCGCUGCGACCGCGAGGAGUUCCAGGCCGUUGCCGAAAAGGCCCGCCACGACGCUGAGGAGCUCGCACGGCUGAAGGUGCAGCAUGAAGCUCUUCAGAAGAGCGGCAGAGGGCCUGGCAGGACCGGGACGCCGAGAAGGUCCGGAAGGAGGAGGCUGAGAAGGUGGCGGCCAACCUUGGGGCUGAGGUCAGCCAGCUCCAAGUGCAAGCGCGAGAGCUUCAGGCCUCCGUGGCCCAGGGGCUCGACCAGGAGCGCCAGCUGAAGGCCUAAUCCGAGGGUAUGACUCUGUUUAUUUCUUUGUCUUUGUGAUGUUGCGGUGAUAUUUUAUUUGGCGGGUUCUUCUGGAUGAUCCUUGCAGAUGAGCUCAACUGGCUGAGGGAGGUGCUUGACGCGGAGCGCGCUGAGCACGGCGACCUGCGGGACGCGGUCCGCGUCAUCUGUGACUUCCUUAGUGUGGUCCAGGGGGAGGGGACGAGCUCGCUGGCGGCUCGUGUCCUCGGGACGUACCGCCGGACCAGCGAGAUCGCCCUGGAAGCGCUUCGCACCGGCUUGAGGCAAGCCUUUGGGGUCUUCGGCUCCCACUAUUCCGGCAUCAACUUCGCCGGGAUGAGCGGGGGAUACGCCACCGGCUACUACGAGGCCGAGCUGGAUGAGAUCGACGUGUCGGUGCUCAGCCCGGCGGAGGCCUUGGUGAAGCUCCUCGAGGAUGAGGCCGUCCCGCCCGAAGAUCCCCGGACGAGUUAACUAUAUCGGGCUGGCGCCCCAGAUGUAAAUACGUUAGGGAAAGACUUGUUUUUUGUGAGGGCCGUAGAGGCCUUUUCUAUGAAUUGUCGUAAAAAAGUUUUUGAUUCCCUUUCUUGCUUUUUGGACUUGGAAAGUUUAGAGCACGUUGUCGGGCGUGUCAGUAAGCUUUGAUGAGCGAAGGCACCGUAGCCGCUGGGGCGUCGUUUUUUUUGCAGUCCGAUCAAUCUUGCCUGAACACCGUUCGUGCACUUUCUCCUUUUUAUGCCCAAAAGUUCAGAAAGAGGGUCGGCUCGGAAAGAGAAAGCGUUUUGAGAGGGUGUCAAGUGGCUUAGGUACUUGCGGCAGGUUGCGUGGUGGACGCGGAUAUCCUUCUCCCUGACAGAUCUGCGGCGCAUUUAUGGUGAGAUCAACAUGGGGACCCACAAGACCCGCGCCCAAGGCGGAUACUUGUCUGGAGGGCCCGGGUUAGCCCGACCCCCUACGCUUGGGGUCAGGCGAGGCGGAGACUUGCGGCGGGGGGUUGGACGCUCCUGACCCUAGACCUGCGGUCGGGCGAGGCGGAGCUUGGUCUUCCAGGGGUCGGGGGCGCCUUACCCCGGGAUGCGGGGUCGGGCGAGGCGGAGCGUAAUUCUUGCCUCCCAUGUUGGGCCGACGGCAAUCUUUGUUACCUUGGGUGGGCCUGGGCCUUUAUGUUUUGUUGUUUCCAUGGGCUUCGAGAGGUCGUUAAUAUUUCCCCCCAACACUAUGAGGAGGACUUGUGGGCAGAAAGUCAGCUACCACAAACUUGCCUCUGAAUAUUUGGAGUGCAAACAUUGGAUGGUGGUUGUGGAGAGCCCCAGCCAUACCUCGCACCCGUGGAGAGGUAAUUGUCGGAUUGCUUGGUUCGUCUCUAGAAUGCGACAAGGUCAGGCGCCACCUCUCACUGCUGCCAGUCAGAAGGCCGAGGGGCCAGUUUCAACAUAGUAAUGAGAAUCUCCGAAGGCCAAUAUGGUUAAGCAGCUAACCUCCAUGAUCAUAGACUUACGUUUAGAAAAUAGGAGGCUUAGCGAUGCGUUAACAGAGCAGAAGUUAGAAACAGAAGAACUUAAGGACGACUUCCGUGUCCUCCGCCUUGGUCUUUGUGCUAAGAUAAAGCGCUUGUACAAUGCCACGGGGAAUGACGGUCUCUACGAUGCAGCUCAAUAGACGUGCCCCUUGUAUCCUUUCCUUUAGGCACUUUAGAAUAUGUUUAUUUGUUUUCCUUCAUUUUAAUUUCCAAUAGAUUGUUAGCGCCUCCAAUUUAAUUUCAAUAAAGUGUAGACUCACCGGUCAUCCAACUUGAUGGAGUCCUUUUGUCACCUAGUUGUCUUUGGAAGAAGUAGCUGGGUACAAAAUAAGUGUGGGGGAGAGCCACAGACUCUCUAGAGCUGAAACAAUGCACAACACCCACAAAUAGAGAAAACCACGCUGCACCAGCACGUACGUGAAAGUGGAGCCAGAGCUGGACCCAUAGGGGUUUGGCCAACCCAAGGGGUGGCCCACUCGGGCCAUCUUCAUCCACCGCGUCGGUUUGUGUCUCUUUACCCCUGAUCUCCCUGAUUCAUGAGUUUGAAUGAAUUUUAAAUCUGAUCAACUAAUUCAAACUCAACUAAAAUGAAUCAACUGCUCCACCUGCUCUACAUGUUUUCUAUGGUUGGCUUGCAUAUGUUUUAUUUCAUGCUUAUCAUCUUGAUGCUUGUGAACAAAUAUCUUUAGGACAGCAUGCUCAUCUAAGUAGUUGAUGUGUAUGAUAUGGUUCGAUGAUAUGAUCUUCACUCUUAAUGCUUAAGUGCUUGGGAAAAUCUAUUUGAAAAUUUAAAAGCCUUUUUGAAAUCUCCUCUUUGAUGUGCCAAAGUCCUACCAAAGCCAUAUGAUAAGUUAUCUUGAAAAACCAUUUGCAUAUGUUGCUUGUCUUUGCAUUGAGCUUUGUCAAAUUGGUGUGACCCUUGUCACAAUUCUUUUCAUACUUUCAUGAUCAAGACUCAUGUGCACGCCAUAUACCCCUUGCUAUGCUUCUAUGAGAUGUUAGCAUUGUACCAUCCAUUCAUUCCACAAAAUAAAUGCUCCACCAUAUGUGUUGGUCUCCUUCUAAGAUUAUUGUUACAAAAGAGAUAUGGGCUAUCAAAAAAAAAUAUGAAUGUCCAAGAAAGUUGGACACAUGAAUGUCCAAUAAAAAGAAAAAGAAAGAUAGCCAUGUCCUCAGAAAUAUUUACAAAGGGAGAGAGAUCAUACAAAAAGGAGUUUCCAUUCCAUCCACCACAUCCAUACAUGUGCACAUCUUGAUCUGAUUGUAUGACUUAUUUUUCUCUUUGGAUCUGGUCUUUGACUUUGCAAUAUAUGUGAUGCAAGCAUGCCUUAUCCUUCAUAGCCUACCUUGAGCUCCACAUAUAGCCAUCAUUAGAAGUAGGAUGAAGAAAGGCAAGUCUAAUGCCUUGGUGAGGACAUAUACACAUUGAGUGAUCUGAGAGAAUCAAAUGAGGAGCUAAGCAAGGUUUUGUUUUGAAAACUAAUUGAAAAAUCCCAAGCUACUUGGCAUAAGGAGUUGAGGUGACUUGAUUCAAGACCAUUACAUUCCUCAACUACCCAAGAUGGCAUGAUAGACACUCCAAAGUUCACAAGUGCAGGUAUGGUUUGGAAUAUCUUUUAGGCUCGCUUCAUACCUUUGAAAGUUAUGUUUCACCUUAGUCCUUUCUCGUUCACUCAAGGAUAAGCAAAGGCUAAGUGUGGGGGUGUUGUUGAUGGCUCUUAAGUACAAAAUCUGCGCCAUCAACUCUUGCAUAAACACAUAAAAUAUGAGCAUCAACAAUAGUGGUAGGAGUUAUUACAAACGAAUUCCACAAGUCUUGGUGAAUAUUUGUAUGCAAGCCCAAUAGGAGAGAAAAGACACCUCAAAAGCAAGGAAACACACUCUCAACCAAUCAAGAGCAAGCACAUGGAACCAUGGGCCCACAACCAAAAGGAAAUCGACUACAUUCCAAACACCCUAUACCCACAUGAGAACCCAUAGGGCAGUGACCCAGAGCAAAGGUGAUGCCAGAGUGUAGAUGGUAGUUAGCAUGCCAAAUUUUGAACCGCAAGCGCUCGGAUUAGUUGUUUCUUUUCCCUUAGAGAUUCCCCCAAGGUUUAUCAAUCCAUGGAACAAGGGAUUUGCACGUUUCACUAAGCACUAAUCAAUGUAAUUGAAAGCUUUUCGAAUAAGAUAUGAUUAUGCUAACAAAGGAACUAAGCAAUCUAGAUUAAGAUGGAUAGAGAGUACAGGUUGUGAACAAGAUAGAUUAAACGCUUGUAGAUGCAAUCACCAUGCAUGAAUGAAUUAGAUCUAGGUGUUAUUGUGAGUGGUUGUGAACCAUGCCCAACACUUUCCCACCCGCAACAUUGUCACUACAUGUGGGUACUCAACUAUCGGAACAUAAGAACACAUCAAGAUGAUCAUUCUAGGUAAGCAAAUAAGCAACCCAAAGUAGCGCUGGCCAGCCUUUUCAUGAAAGAGCAUCAUCAAGAUAAGAUUGAUAACAAAAUAGAUCUCAACCAAAGGUUCAGCGAUUACAAAUCAAGAUCUUCGUAUAACCCCGAUGACAAAUAGAGGUAUUACCCCCAUGAUCUUACACAUGUUGAUGAAUUUUAGGGUAAAGGACACCCUGUAGAUCAACUGGACCAAAGAUGAUGAUGAACGGGGGCAGGGAAGGCCCAGGUUGAUCAGCCUGCGCACUUUUGAGCCGAUCAGCUCAGGGGGUUUCCUCCUCCCCUGGUGCUCCUCUUCGCGUGGCCUCCUCUGGAUCCAAUCUUCUCUUCAUUUCUCCUACUUGUGGCGGCAAUGGAUGGUGUUUGCAUGGUGAUUUCCUCUUCUCCCCAACUCUCCCUCCUUGAAGUCCAUGAGGGGGUAUUAAUAGUCUCCAAUAGGCGGCAGCUCUGGGUCAAUGUCAGUGAAAAAAUCCUAGAGAUCAUCGUACACUUCAUGCUGAGGAAACAAGAGGUUGACCGAGCCCUGGGAUAGACCAAGAGGAUCAUCCUAGAGGGUCCCAGGCUAAUCGGUCUAGGCCCUUCCUAGCCCUUCUAGUCCUCUCCUUCCUCGUGCUGGCUUUUCUCGAUGACCCUUGUCCAAAUAUCCAUGAAGCUCUAUAUACAUACCCCCUUGAUUAUGUUGUAUUUCCUGUCAAAAUACAAUGCUCCAAAAUACAACACAUAUGCAAUAAUAGGGUUAUUUCAGGUGCCAAUUGGUGGGUUAGUAUACGAAUAAGCAUGAAAAUACUGUUUAAAUGACACUAAAAGUGUGUCAAUAACGAGCACCAACAAUCCCCCCACGCUUAGAUCUUGCUCGUCCUCGAGCAAGUCUAGCGACUAAAAGAUCUUGAAUUAAACCUGAGCAAGCGAGUCAAGUACCUAGCCUUGAAACAAAAGAUUAGAGGAGCAGCAAAGAUAAUCAAAGUCUGGGUGUUCAAAGAUUUAUCUAAGCAAAGAUUCCCCUACAACUAUUAUUCAGAACCAAGUAACUUCAAAAAUCAACUACACUUAUUUUCUGGCUUUUUUCAGAGGGUUUUUCUUUCAUCAUAAAACAAUCUCCCUGCAACAAAAUUGAAAAAAGAAUUAUUUUCAAGGUGCUUACAUGUCGCUUAAAUGAAUGUUGGCUAUCCUACUUAUUUGCAAGCUCUCAUCUCUCAAAAUUCAUUCAAUUAUAUGGUGGAGUUUGGGUAAGGUUAGCUAGAAUCAACACGUAUAUUAUUGAAUUAAGAAAACCCUCUAACGGUGGCCUACCUUCCGAGCCAUUGAUCAUAAGAAUAUCCACAUAAUGUGAAGUUUUCAAGGAUGAGAAGAUAUAGAAUGGUGGACAUGUGCAAAGGCAAAGAAAUAUAGUGACUCUGAGGCACAAGCAAUGUCCUCGUCGUUGGAUUGCAUAUGGUUGUAAUGAAAAUAUGUUCCUUAAACAAGUCUAUCUUUUCUUUGCACCACUCUUGAUCUUCAUGACAGUAAAAACUCCUCCUUUAUUUCUUUCUCUCUUUUCCUAUUAUUUCUUUUUAUUUGUCUCAAUACUUUUAUUUCUUUAUUUCUUUAUUUUAAUCUCUUCUCUGAACCUCUUCUGAACACCACAUAAUAAAAAUAAGUUUUAGAUCCUUCCAGAGACCUUCCAGGAAUUUGCUACAUGAAAACCGAGGCAAGGAGACCCCAGGCCGAUUGGCCUAGCCACUCCUUUGCUCUCCUCUAGCUCUUCUUUCUGGUGAAGCUUCCUUAUCUUGUAUCUUUCCAAAAAUUUCAUAAAGCUCGACUAGAAACGGAACAGAUCUUCAUAUAAUGAGUUGUGUUCAAGGAAUUGGUAAUAAAAUUGAGAAAUUUGUGGUUCGGGUUUACGAAUUCAGUACAAAAAUAUGAUUGUUCCAAUGAAGAACUCUCAUUACUGAAUAUUGACGAGGCAAGCAUUCAAAGAUGGUAAAAAGGAUAUGAUCAAUUCUCAAAAUUAAAGCAAACCAAGAGAGAGCGAUCCUAAUUCAAUUCAAAGUGUCAAAUGUUGCUUAUGGUGGUAUGAAUAAAUAUUUUUAGGCAUUGGGUAGGAUAAAUAAAAACUCUCAACCUGGUUAAAAGAUAUUGAUCAAUCUUGUUUUUGCAGAGGUUUUAAAUAAAAAAUAAAAUUUUAAAUCACCUCCAAUUCAAAGCCUUACUCAUAAAUCAUAAUCAAAACUGAAGCACUUGAUCAUCAUAAAGCAUGGGUAUUGCAUAAACAAAUCGAUUACUAAAACUCCACAACUACGAUUUAGAAUUCAAGACAAUGCUCAUAAUCUAAAGUUGCAAAGAUAAAAUAAAAGACAACCAAGCCAAGGUAGACACUAAAAACACUUGCACGAUCCUUGAAUUUUAUUCAUGCUUCUUCUCACAAAGACGCUAAAGUAGCCAUGUAGGCCUAAGUCUUCCCAAAAGCUUAAGAAAACUACUACUUUAUCUACUUUUGGUUGAAAUAAAAAGACUAAUCUAGACUCUCACAUGAUUCGACUCGACCAAAUUAGAUCCAAAAACUCAUACGAGCGACGAUCUCCCCCCCCUCACGCUUAAAAUCUACGACCUCCUCGUCGUAGCCAUAUGGAGUACAAGGAAAAGAAGCUUGUAAACGCUCUAAUGACGCUACCCGCACUACUUGCACACGGGAUGGUUGCUGCUUCCUUCGCUUUGUUCUUCCUCAUGUUGCUGCACAUCCCGAAGAGCUUCCUCACGUUCCUCUGCAAGAACUUGAACUCGUCCUCCUGACGGCGAUCAUUAUCUUCUGCCUUUUGAUCCAGAGCUUGUAAGGCUUGCAUGAUGUCAUCGAACGCAUCGAAGAGGUAGUGGAUGUUCUUCCUGCAAGCUGUGGAACAUGUACGAUCAUGCUCCUCCGAUUCUGGCCCGUCGUCUUCUAGAUCCUUCUCUUUGCCCUUGUCUUGACGGUGGCUAUCUUGCUCCUUGCUCGCCUUCUUGCCUUCAGCCCAAUCCCAGUACGUGUUGUCAUCUUCUUCAUCGUCACGGCCUGCAGCACCCUAUGAUCCAUUGUCUAUCUUGUAUGAAAGAAUCAGAAGCUUGUUCUCCUCAGGGUGUCUUGCGCGGUGCAGCGUUUGCAAGUGCAAGACUUGCUAGUUCCUUUUACACAUUGUAAUGUUCAUUGCAUGCUCUAAUUGUUCUACAUUUGUAAUUUCUUGGUGAAGUUUGGUUACUGAUCCACUGUUUGAUUAACUCUUGGGCCCAAACACUGUACUACUUCUGAUUAGAUAUCUGUAUCUUGACUUUGACCAAAAAAAAUAUCCGGCAGUUUUUGCCAUUAAAGUUUCAUAAAUCAUCUUGCAAAAAUCGUACUAUACAACAAGGGACGGUUUAUUAUAAAAUAUACGUUCCCCUUAUCACAUGCCACUUCCACUCAAAAGGCAACGAAUCAGUUUUCAAUCCUGAGUGAGCAAUUUGCUUUUAUUACCGAUGCCUCCUAUUCCCUUGUGCACCAAGUUUAUUUUGGAUAGGGCUGCAAAAAACGACUAACCAGCUCGGAUUCUCCACCUGCAAAACCGCAUCUGCAGCAACCAACCCCACGCGGUGGAAAAAAAAACAAAACCUAGAAACCGGACGGGGGUGGAUGUGGGGCUCGGAGCCCAAGCAAAAAACGGAUCGGGAGCGCCGGAGCAGGCCAUCACCGGAUGUUAGAGAUAGAAAAUGGUUGAAGUUUGGAGUGGAAAUCAAACAAGCCUUGGAGCAAAGGAAAAAAAAAGAUCAAACCACUCAAGCAUUCAUUUGAUUUAGAAAAGAGAACAUUUGUUAAGGUGGGGAGUUGAAAUCAUCUUUUAAUUAGUUCCACGUAUCUGGUAUCAUUACAGUUGGUUUACUUGUGUAAGUAUAAGUAGCUCUGCCGAAGCCUUUGCUCCUAUAAUUUAGUAACUAGUACAAAUGGAUCAAUAGGAAAAUCAAGUUGCAAUCAUUUCUCAGCCAACCAAACCUAUGUAAAUCAAAUUAUUGUCCAUGCCCGGCAUGCACAGGUGCCUGCCAUGCAUGCAUUGUUGCUCCAUUGUAAUAACCAUUAUUGUCCAUCGAUGUUGCAGCGCAUGUGUGCACUGUGCAGACACCAAGCAUCGAGAUUAUGUACUAGUAAGGUGUUGAAAUAAUGGGCCUAGCCCAUAAGUAAUUUCAGAAUUUCAAAUAAAUCUCAAAGGCCCAUGUGGGCAAGAGGUGGAGUGGUGCAAGUCUUUAGUCCCACAUUGCUAGUCGAGGGGAGGGAUGACCAACUUAAAUAUGGAAGUUGUCUCCACUCCUCCAAGCUAUGUGUGAAGGGCGCGGGCGCGAGGCACUUGCGUGAAUGGUCCGCCGAAAUCUGGCCCCCCUUGCGGGGGCGCGGCUUCCUUUUGCCGUUUUAUUUUUUGGUUACUUGGUCGUUAAGUCAUGGAAUCCUAACCGGUUUAGAUCACGAUCGUGAAGGUUUUUGGGAAGCGCUCUGCGCGACUGCUCGAUCGCUUCUUCCGCUUCGUCAAGUUCUUCGUCGACUCCUUCACCACGGCUCGUCUACCUCUUCGUCGCUCGGGCCUCACUCGUCGUCGCGAACAACGUCAGGCUGCUGAUCGUCGUCGCCUGCUGUAUCCGGUAGUCGUCCAGGAGCCGGUUUUCAUCAAGAAAGAAACGUACGGUCUCUUAACUCACAUUAUGUCUUCCAUACUAGCUAUUAUGAUUGUUGCAGUCUGAUAGCUCUGGAUAGUAUGGUAGAAUGUCUGAUUCUAUUUGCAAUGAUAGACUUGUCUAGAUCUUGCGUAGACAUGUCUAGUUUAAUCUGCUGCUUGUUCAUCAUAUUCAUGAUUUAUUUCUGGAUUAAGUUAAAACUAAAAGUGCUUAUAUAUCCAACAUAAGGUACCAAGAACACGUGAAGCACCCGGGGGAGGCUGCUCCACUCCGCAUGCACAGGUGGGCACGGCACCACUACUCGUCUCCUUCAGGCUGAGGAUAAGUGAUGUACGCUGAUCAACAGACCACGACGGAACCAGCAAUAAUAGUUUCAGCCUGCCUCACAGUAAUUAAUAUAUCCUGUAUCCUCCGAGGACCCCUCCCCUUAAUCUUGGCCUAUUGCAUCCAAUAAUGAUAUGUGUGUUUAUCCAAAUUUACGGCACCUUUGGCGGGGGUUCCACCCAGCUCCGCCCUCUCCACCUUCGGUACUCCAUGGGAAACCAUUCCUUUGGAAUCAAGGAAGCUUGAACAGUAUAACGAAUAAAGUUUCAUAUAUCCAUUUGAUUUCACAUGAAAUAAAAUAUUCUGUCAGAACCAAUGGUUUCACUGAAGCUCCAGGCAGCGAGCGAAGGGGUGAGAGAGGAUAACGCUUACUGUGUGUUACCAUCGCGUGCACCAUGGAUGACCAACGCGCAGCCGAGAUGAAACGGCGGACCUAAACAGGUCCUCGCUAUUUUUGCAGGUUCUCGACCAGGCCAGUUCUUUAGGCCAACCUAUCAUUCACGAGUUAAACAUACGGUGGCUGGAGAAAUGUUCUAUUCUUUUAAACAAUACCAGCUGGUUCCUCCGUUUUUAUUCCACCAAUACAAGCACCACCUUGUAACAUUUCCUAUGUUUUUUUUCCUUUCGUCUGUUUUCUCACUACAUGCGUUGCUCUUUCAUGCAUUUUUUUCCAUUCCUGUAUUCCAAAUAGGUCUACAUGAACACAAAAUGAACUAGGGGACAGAAAAAGCCAGUGAAGUUAGUUUUGAGCUUCACCAGCUACUUGCUACAUAAAGUGUGCUAUAGUCGCAGAAAAGCUAAGCUGGAUCAGACGUGGCCGAAACAAUGCCAAAGAGCUAGGUCCCUAGCUGAUGGCAACACAUCAGAUGACUAGCCUGCUUUUCUGUAAUAAUGAUAUUGAGCAAUACACUGCAUGGCUAACCUGCUUUACAAUAAUUGUCAUUUUAUAAUAUUGGUCAUCACGAGAGAUGCACAUUGCAUACACCGGCCCAUCCCUAUAAAUAGCCAAGCCUUUCAGCCAUCUUGGGCACCUCCUCUCAGGGCCUCGUCUCACCAUCAGACAUCUCGUUCCCAGUUAUAAUUUGCGAGGUUAGAUCAGGCUGCGCCAUGGCGUCCGCAACUGCUGUCAAGAUCGUCGCCACCUUCAUGCUGGUGCUGACCAUGGGCCACCUGAUGGCCGAAGCAUCACCGCAGCCUCGGCGUGUGCUUGCAGAAACGGAGCAUGCUGCGGUGUCCGGGAAUCCUGGCCUCCCAGGUGAUGCUAGCGUCAUGCAGGUCCUCGAACCCGCCCUAGUUUCUCGGCUUGCCUGCAAACCAGAGUGCACAGUCCCUUGGCCUCCUUUUGUAUGUAUCUGCUAGAUCCUCUUCCUGGCUCAACGGAACUUCAGGGAAAUGGCUGUGACGUCGGCCAAAGAAUAAAUUGGAUGAACAUAAUAUACCCCGGGUAGUGUAGCUUGGGCUUUUGUUGAGCGUCUGGUGCUAGUUGUAUUUUGUUUGCUCAUGUGGCUUUGCUUCUGGUUGCAUAUUGGCUUUCCUAUCGCUCUCUGUUGCAGCUAUGGUUUCUGCCAGGUGUGUGUUAAUGCGGUUUGUAAGCGGUGCUUGUUCCUACCUUCUGUUUUCAAUAAAAGAAGUCGGAGUCUCCCUCCGACUCUUGUUAUCAGUCAACAAAAAUGAGUUGUAUCAUAUAUAUCUGCGUCUUUUUUCUACGUAUCUUUGGGCUGCUUCAGCUGGAAGUUUAUCGUAAGUACGUGUAUCAGGAUGAUCGUUUGAAUUAAAACGAAAUGAUAAUGUGUGGCUGCUAGAAAUGGAAUGAGCAUCUUACUAUAUUACUAAUUGGAAGCCUCCACGUGAAGCCACCUAGAAAUUCUAGGUGGACGUUUUAAAAAAAACAAAACUCAUAGAAGCCUCCACCACCUAGGAAUCCUAGGUGGACACUCUAAAAAGAGACAAAUCCUAGAAAUUCUAAAAAAAGAAAAAAAUAAUAACAAUAAGAUUUUUUUGCAGUCAAUUACAUAUAUUUUUUUGAGACACCGUGCUGCUAGCUCUUGCCAUUGCGACCAGUAAAGCAAGCAGAUAGUAAGAUGACAUGCGUGUGGAUUGAUUAAAACAAAUUCAGUUAGUUGAUUCUAAAUCGUAUGUAUCCUAAAAGGAAGAUAUGUGCGUGCAUGGUCCCUAGCGAUGACAUGUAGACAUGUAUUGCAAUUUCUUUUUUAAAAAACAUGUCUAUCUCUAAACCAACAAACAGAAAAAAUAUCAAUCUAAAUCUAAAUCUCUUCCGUUCUCACACGCCUAUUAAAGAGAAGACAACCAAUCCCAUCCAUGUUCCAUAGAAUCCAUCUAAAAGCUUGCUCACUGCGGACGGCAUUUGACGGCAAAUCAAUGAAAGAUCAUCCUCUCCAAAUAGCUGGACGGCAUCACCAUCUUUAUCUCACCAACCUACAGAGCUACAACGAUGUUGUAGAGAUCAACUAGGUAACCUACCAAUCACCCUCCCCUUUUCUAUAUGCUCUAAAGAACACGUGGAGUAAUUAUAGGCCUAUAGGAGCCGACUAACCUAGAUUAAUAUGAAAAAUAUUCCAAUAUUAAAAGCAAGCAGAUAGUAAUACUUGCCUUUGACCAUUUUUCUAGAACUGUUAUUCCUAUUGAAUGUUCAAGUGCUACGGCCAGGCAUCGAAUGCCUGCACGGAACCUUCCUAUUGAAUGGUUACUCUAGAGAUCAACGCACCGCGAGACAUUUUUAUGGAAUUUGUUUGAUUCCCCUUCUACAAUUAGAUUAAUUUUUCAUGGCAUAUAUUACUACUAUUAAAUUAUUUGUUUAUUGUCGGGCCUGCUGCAUGUGUGGUAUAUAUGACUUGCUUCUCACCAUUGUUCUCAAACUAUUAUUCCUAUCGAAUCUUUCUAUCGAAAUAUAUUUUAAUUACUUGAUUGUUGUUUGUGUACCAUAACUUCUGUAUAGAAAAAUUCCAUGUUUGUAGAUAAUGUCUUUUGUAUAGAAAAAUAGCCCAAUUAGAUCCAUCACCAUCUUUUGCUUAUGUAGUUGAACAAGUUGCAAUGUUGAACAAAACUUUAAGUGAAAUUAGACCAGGAAAAGGAAUUGUGGAACAUUAAGGCAAGGGUAACCAGAUUGUGGAAUGCAACCUUACUCAGUAGUGGCGAACAAUUAAGUCUUGACAUGAUCCUUAUUGAUCAAAAGGUAUGAUAGAUGUUCACUUUGAUUGCAUUAUUGGUAUAAUUUUUGGUUUACAAAUUAUUAAUGAUGAUGCAAAAUUAGGGAACCAUGAUCCACGGUGUUAUCAAUAAGCCCUAUAUGAAAAAGUUCAAACCAUUGAUUGAAGAAGGCAAUGUGUACAUAAUUGCAAAUGUCAGAAUCACACCAGAACCACAGAAGUAUCGGCCAGUGGAAAAUGACAGGAUAGUCAACUUCUUACCCACAACUGCACUAAAAACGAUCAAAGAUACUGAAGACAUUCCAAAGUAUAGUUUUAACUUCAUGAGCACGGAUAUGCUUUCAGCAAGAAUAAAUGUGGACAUGUACCUAUUAGGUAAAACAUUACUGGCUUUUCAAUUUUUACACUUCCACUCAUUAAAUGACCAUCUAAUAAUAAUACAUAUUUAUGUUUCAUAGAUGUUAUAGGUAUCUCAGCUCACAUUGGACCGAUAGAAGAAACAAGGACAAACUUCGGAUUUACUAAAAUCCGUGAUAUUGUGCUCCUGAUCGAGUAAUUCUCUUUUCUUUUGUAGAAAACAACUACAAAACUUUCAACAUUUACAUGUAUGUUAUAGAACUUCUGUUGAACUAAAAAAUAUCUUCUACAGUGCCCCUACAAAUAAUUAAUUUCGUAGUUGGAUAUUUAAAAUAUUUAUUAUUCACUUUUAAAUUUGUGGCCAUGAAGUUAAAGUUAGAUUUUGGGGAGACAAAGUUGAGGAAGUUGAUGAUAAGACAAAAUCCCAUGUCAUUGCAAUAACAUCUACAACUGUGAGUAAAUUUGGCAGUAAGUCUUCAUUCAAUAUGAGUUAUUCAAUAUUAGUCAUUCAACAAACUAACCUCGUAAGAAAAAUAAAUAAUUGAUGUUUUAUCAGGGUAUUCUCUAUCGUCAACCAAUGCAACAAAACUUUAUGUAGAUCUACCUAUUCCUGAAACUAAGGAUGCACAUGAUAGGUGAGAAAAAUUAGAUAUUGUUUUUCUAUUUUAAUCUAUGUAGCAUGCACUCUAACAUGAUACAUUCUUUCAUAUGAUAAAAAAAUGUUAGUUCAAUUGAAAAUAUUGUCAAAGAGAUUCAUAUUGAGGACCAUCUAAAAGGGACAUUGGAAGACCAAAUGCAGUACAAUAGAAGAACUUUAGAAGAAUUAAAUUUCAUAUUAUUUGAAACAUCAAAUCAGGUAUGGAUUAGUAUGUUCAUUGUACACUAUACUAUUUAAAGACUUACAUACAUAAUGAUGGUAUUGUUCCUACUUUCAGGAUGAGGUAUUUACUAUUGAAGCAACAAUAAAUGAAAUUAAUGCAACAUAUGGUUGGUUGUCACACCCGAUUUUAAGGACAAAAUUGAGUGCAUUAAAUACAUGUGCACCAGGAUCAAGUUACACACAUCCUAUGAGUACCGUCCUUCUUUGGCACAAAGAUAACCGGUGCUCCCCAUGGUGAUGAACUAGGCCGAAUAAACUAUUUUGCUGAUAAUUCCUCUAGUUGUUGUUUCAAUUCUUUUAAUUGUUCAACCAACAUUCUAUAAGGACGUUUGGAGAUAGGUGCAGUACCAGGUAAAAGAUCAAUAGCAAAUUCAAUGUCGCGGUCAGGUGGCAUACCUGGUAAAUCGUCGGGGAACACAUCCGGAUAGUCACACACCACUUUGAUAUCUUCCAAGGAUUUUCCAGCCAACUGAUUAACUGCACAAUCUGCUGCUGAGGGUAGAGUAGCUACAAACUCCACUUUCUCUCCAUCAGGACCUGUUAGCAGAACUGUCCUCUUGGCACACUGAAUCGUUGCAUCAAAAGCGGCUAACCACCUCAUCCCCAGAAUUACAUCGAUUCCACUGGACUCAAGGACGAUAAGAUCAGCCGGAAACUCUAUACCCAUUAUUCUCAGUUUAACUUGUGGACAGAUGUAUUGAGCCUUCAUUGACCCCCCAGGUGAACUCACUAGCAUAUGACGCCUCAUGGUAUGCAUGGGUAAAUUAUGCUUUGCUACAUAAUGACUAGUGACAAAAGAAUGCGAUGCUCCAGAGUCAAAUAAAACUGAUGCGGGGGCAGAGUUGACAAAGAACAUACCAAGCACUACAUCUGGAGCCUCCUUAGCAGUCUCGGCUUCCAUGUGGUUCACCUUGCCACAAACAAAGCUUUGCUGCCCCUGAUUGCCUUGUGGGGUCUGGUUCCCAUUCCUCGGUUGCUGCAUCUGAUUCUGCCGAGGAGCACUGCUGUUCUGCACGGGGGUAGCUGGCCCACCUCUCUUAGGACAAGAGCUGGCAUAGUGACCAACCUCGCCACACUUGAAGCAGGUAGGACCCACUGGAGCAUUGGGCCUUGUUGGAGUGCCAGUAGGGGUCAUCUGGCGGUUCUGCGUAAAGCUUGGGCGCGGAGUCUGCAUAGUCUGCAUCCCUGGAUGCUGGAACUGAGGGCUAGGGCGCUGGAAUGACUGCUGAGCAGGGCGCGGAAAUGAGUGCUGCCAAAAAUUCCCACUCGGGCCCCCUGCGCGGAACGGCGUCCCUUGCUGUGGAGCAAAGCGAGGGCGGGUGUUGCUUCCUGAAGACUACUGGGAAUUGAAUUUCCUCUUCAUCUCCCCGAGCUCGUUCCUCUUGUGUUCCAGGCCAAUUGCCUUGUCUAGCAUCUUCUGGAAACUGGGGAAGGUGUGCGACAUAAGCUGAUAUUGGAGUGGUCCAAUCAACCCAUCCAAGAAUAGCUCCUGCUUCUGCUCAUCAUCAGCAACAUCUUCGGGAGCAUAUCGGGACAACUGGACAAACUUGUCCCUGUACUCUGCCACUGUCAUGUUCCCCUGCUUGAGAGCAAGGAACUCCUUCUUCUUAAGCUUCAUCAAUCCGGAAGGAAUAUGAUGACUUCUGAAGCUAGUCCUGAAUUCAUCCCAGGUGAUGCCAUUAGCAUUGGCAUGGGUGGUGGUGUAAGCAUCCCACCAAUCAGCAGCUGGCCCUUCCAGGCGUCCUGAAGCAUACAGGACCUUCUCCCUGUCAGUACAUUGGGCGAUAUCCAGCAUCUUCUCCACUGUUUUCAGCCAAUCAUCAGCAUCUAAUGGAUCCGGAGAAUGUGAAAACGUCGGGGGCUUGUGGCUCAUGAACUCCCUAUGCCUGUCCCUUGGCGGCGGCUGCUGCUGGUUGUUGUUGUUGUUAUUGUUCAGCUGAGCUUGUAAAGCUGCCACGGUGUUGGUCAGUCCGGCGAGAAGCUGAGUCUGAGCUGCUAGAAACUGCUCCAUCCCUGCAGGUGCUUGUUGGUUCUGUUGCGGAGCGGUGUUGGGAUUGCUGCUGUUGUCCCUGUGGCGUGGCACUGUGGGACGGUCAACUCCUGAUCCGGACCUGGUGUUUACCAUCUGAGCGUUAGAGACAAUGGAUUUAGAUAGAUGUGUGAAAGAAUAACUGAGAAAGAUAAAGCGACCAGAUGUAAAAGUAACACAGAUUCUGUUAGCUCCAUUUAAUUAGGUGUGGUCGUCAGAAGAAGUGUCCAUAAAUUCUGAACAAUUACCAAGUCGUAACUUAUUAAAUUUGUAAACCAACCCAACUGGAAUCAUCUCAAUCGGACUUCUGGAUCUCGAGUUACAAAAUUAACAAGCUGACAGUGUCGGUCGAUAGGUUCAGAUUCUGAGUGCUUUACUAAUUCGCAUACACCUCCCAGACAGAUACACCAAAAAUUCUGAAAAAUUUACAGAUAGUACUCCACGAAAUUCUGAAACUAACCCCACUGGUUUCAUGUCAUUUGGACUUCUGUAGCUAGAGAUAUAAAUAAAAAAGUACUGGCGUGUCAGUUAAUGUCGAGAACAGAAUUGAAUGUCGCUUAGCUUGCGUGAUGGAUAGAUUUAGACAGAUGGUAGAUCAUGAUUAAGGAAGAUUAAAUACUGAUUUAGAACAGAAAUAAAACCCAACUAAGCACUUUAUUUAUUAAGACCAGUAUCGUGUGGCAAUUGCCCCACAUACCGCACUCAUUACAAAAUCCAACUCAAACAUGUAGCACAAAACCAAUCAUCUAAGCACACUUUAACUAACACACUCGAACGACGUCUAACGAUUACAAGAAUUUAAACUAAAACACUCCUAAUUUCCUAGAGGUCUUCUGCGGCGGUGCCGGGCGAGUCGUAGCGGGGACGCUUAGGCGACGGCGACGAAGCGGGAUGAACAGCAAACUCCUGCGGCGGCGGUGCUCCCGUCGCGGCAGCCAUAUUCGCAUCCCUCUCCCACCGGAGUUCCUGAACCUCCUGUUGAAGCUCCUGGAUGUGGUUGUUUGCUUCAUUCAAUGCGGUGAGAGCUGCCGACGUGUACUUGCGGAGGAAGUCUGUAGCCAUGUCAACCCCAUCGUUAGUAGCGAUGAAGGUUCUUGCUUCCCCACUAGCUCGGUAAGGAAGGAACCGAUGGUAAGUGUGCUGCAAUCGCGGCCGUUCCUUGUGGGAGACGACCUCAAGUGCCCUCCUGGCGGCCUCGGCAAUGCCGGAUUCCAUGGUCCUCCUUAUGGUCACAUCAUGGUGAAAAGCCUUCACCUCCCAUCCUCCCUCGUGCUCCUCACGAAGGACAACCUUCACCUCCCAAAAAGUGGGAUAGCGAGGGUGGGUGAACCGGGAGCACUUGUAGAGUGGCCUCAUGCCGUACCCCAAGCGGUGACAAGUCCACCUGAGUAUGUCGGCCAUGUGCACUCCUUGGCCAUAAUCUUCCUUCACCCAUUUGAUCCAUGUCUCGGGCUCGGGAUCUGCUUCGGGCUCAUCAUCCGUCAAGUCGACGACCGGUACGGGCGUCGGGGCUGGUGCAGGAGCGGGCGCCGGUGCUGGCGACGGUGCUGGUGACGGCGUGGUCUCCUGCUCCACGGUCACGGCGUCCCCGUCAGAGUCAUCCCCCGGAUGCUGGAAGAUCUCUUCCUCUUCUUCCUCGUCCCAAGGCUCCAUGGGGGCGUACGACGGCGCGAUGCCAUGACGCGGCGGACGGGUGCUCUUGCGUGCGGUCAACCGGGUGCGAGCCAUCUAACAGAAAGAAAGAAGAAAAUUUUAGAAUAAAAUUUUGAACAAAGCUAGAUAAUAAAAUAGCAAUAAGGAUGAGACAAAUCAAGUUUAAGAAUAAUUAAGUAGAUUUAAAUUAAGAAAGGUAGGAAUGGCUACUAGAUUAUUAUAAUCCUUAAAUACGACCAUUUUCUAACUAGGCUAACGUCCUACAGUCAACACGGCUCUGGUACCACUUUUGUCACACCCGAUUUUAAGGACAAAAUCGAGUGCAUUAAAUACAUGUGCGCCAGGAUCAAGUUACACACAUGUACGACAAUAGUGAAUAGUAAAGCCAGUGCUAAAUCGAAUAAAGAGAGUAUUAACCAUUAUUACAUGACCGAAUGUCUCAAAUAAACCACAAAGUCUAAUUAUUACGCAGCGGAACUCCAAAGAUGACGACGACUCCAUAGGCAGCUGACUGAAGAAACGUACGCCUAGAACUCCUCGAAGUCGUGGAAGUACUCCUCUUCCCAAUUAACUUGGUCUGAACAGCGGUUUUGCAAGGGUGAGUACACUUAUGGUUGGUACUCAACAAGUCGUGGGAAGUAGUGUAGUGUAAGGCUAAUUCAAGGUAUGGCUAAGGCGUAAAUAGCAUUCGCUUUUAAUUAAGUUGGUCAAAUUUUAUUAGCAUUUACUAAGUAUAAGUUCAUACCACCCGAAAUUAAACAUGAACAUAAAGUAAACCACAUGUGCAUGAAAUGAUAACAAAUUAAAUCCAUCUUCCGAUAAUAUUAUCAUGUGAGGGUCCAGGCCGCUCUUAACCGUGAGCACGGCUGAUUGAUCAGUUUAACACUCUGCAGAGGUGGCACAUCUUUACCCACAAGUCGCGUAAAAGUUCAAAAGAACUUUGGACCCAACCAUGCGGUGUUUGCAAGGCACCAUACCACACUUCCGAGGUGUGAUUGCAUAGGGACGCUACGAGGCCUUUACAAAGAUUCAUUAAUCAGUGGUAACCCGCUAAGGUUUCGGUGUCUGGCGUGCACCACCCAUCCCAGGUAAAAUGCAACGACUCAGUCCCCCCCCUUGAAUCAUCACGAGUAAGGUCACCCCAGACUAAGGUUUCUAAUUAAUCAGCCAAGACCAGAGCUAUUUAGUCUUGUGGUAGCACUGUUUUCCUGGGUGGUCGCUCCAUGUUCUGAUUAACAAAUAAUGAUCUUGUCUUAAUGAAAGGUAUAACAGAAAUAAGGCAAGAUUAAGCAUUGUUUUUAGUUAAACCACCAUGUACCAAGUAAGCACUAAGCAUGAGCUACCCAACAUAAAGUAAACCGGUUGGUCAAGGCAAAGGUAAAACAAUCUAGGCCAACCUUAAUUGGGACCCAUCAAUUUAAUCUUAAUAUGUGCACAGCAUAAAUGUUGAGUACGAGAAAGUAAAGGUGUAUAGGACAAAAAGGUAGUGAUCAAGGACACGACUUGCCUUCUUGGCCUUGCUCCUGCUGUUCGUACUCCUCGAAGGCUUGAUCGGCAACUCCCUCGAACUGCGGGGCGUCUACACGCAUCACACGAGCACAUACAAGCAAACAUGGGCAAAAGUAAGAAAACAGUAUACCAAACAUAGUCAAACAGAGAAAACAAGCUUGAAAAGAUGAUCUACGCUUUAAAACGAACACGCGGAUAUAAAGAACGCGAAAAACGGAGUUAAGAUGCAAAAGAUAUGAUUAAAACAAAAUCCAGGGACUUUUCUGUAAGAAAAACAAAACUUUUAGGGCCUAUCCGCGAAAACCGAGGGCUUAUACGUAAUUAUGCGUAUAAACCGAGGGUCUGAUGCGUAAAAACAUCAAACCCGGACGGCGGGUUGAUUUCUGGAAAGGUCAAGGGUUAAACCGAAAAAUGCGAGGGCAGAUCUGUAAAUACUUUCAACGCGAUCUGGACCGCGGGUUGAUUUGCGAAAAAGGCGGGGGCUAAAGUGCAAAAACUGCACGGCGCGGCUCGGUUGACCGGUACGCGAUCUUGAUUGACUCGCGUCCGGCCGUCGGAUUAAGAUCCGACGGUCGCGGUGAUCCGCGACAUCGCGGCGGCGGCGGCGAGCGGCGGCGAGCGGCGGCAAGCGGCGGCGGGUCGCCGGAGUUAGGCAAAAUAGCGCCACGAGGCACGGUUUAACGCGCGGGUUGCACCAAAAAAGAGAGGGGAACACGUCGAUCCCGUUUUGGGGGUUCUUGUCGACGGGGGCUCACCGGCGACGGCGAACGGCGGCGAGGAAGAGGCGGCGGCGCUAGGAGCUCGGGCGGCUAGGGUUUCGGGGAGCUGCGGCGCUGGUUUUGGGCGGAGGAGACUGGGAGGAGGCGGCGGCUUUUAUAGGGCUUGGAGAUAGAGCCGGCGCGGGUUCAAAUCCCCCGGAGGAGUCGGAGCGGAUGGAGUCCGGGGCGGAGACGGCGCGCGGCGGUUGCGGAGUUCUGACCGGAUUCGGCCGGAGGUGGGAGACGAUGGGUGGGGUCCACCCGUCAGUGGCGGAGGGGAGCGGUAGACGGGCCGGCGCGACCGUGGGCUGGCGCGCGCUCGUGGGCUGCGGGGAGCGGGAGAGAAGCGGCGAGCGGGCGCUGGCGGAGCAGGCCGAGCGGAGGUAGAGCUGGGCCGCGGAGAAAAAGGAGGAGGCCGGCGGGCUGCUUCGCAGGCCGGUAAGGAUGAGGCGGCCGGGCCGAAGAAGAAAAAGAAAAGGAGGGACAAGGAGCUUUCGGCCGAGGGAAAAGAAGAAGAAAAAGAAAAGGAAGAAGAAAAGGGAAAAGGUUUUGGAAUUUGAAUUUAAAUCUGAAAUUCAAAAUUUGAUUCAAACUCAAGCAACCAAAAAUUAUGCUCCAGCAUGAAUGCACAAAUAAUUCCUAUGAUGAAUUAAUUGAAUUAAAGAAAAUGAAUUUAAAUGCCUAGAAAUUAAAUAACACCCUAAUUUGAGCAAAUUUUAAUGAAUUUGAAUUAUUGAAAUUUUGGGUGUUACAUUGGUACUACAUCUCAUGUAGUAGAGGCGAUUGUAAGAAGCAACUUGAAAAGAAGUUUGAUCACUACUAUUGCAAUAAAUGUGACAAGAGAGCCGAACCUAAAGCCCAGUAAAUUAUUUAGUAGUUUACAAUCUUAUUAUAAUACUUCUAUUUCUAAUAGGAGAAUAAUAUUUUCAGAUUCAAAUUAAGCUUCAAAUAAGUGAUCCAACAACAAGUGCAACUUGUGUACUUUUGACAAGGAAGCAGAAAUGAUAAUUAAUGAAUGAGCAGAUUCGAUGAUCACCUCAGUUGAUCAUGAUAAUAAGUAGCUACCAAAAUCAAUUCAGGAAAUAUGUGAAGAAACAUUGAUUUCUCAAUUCAGAUUGACCGAGUACAACUUGACAAGUUUUAGACCUGAUUAUACUGUUUCAAAGAUAUUUUUUCCAAAAGAAAAGGGCAGUUCAAGAAUUGGUAUGGAAAGUGUAAAAAAGGUAACACUUUAUUAUUAAUUUUUUAUUGCACUUUUUUCUUUUGAAUCCGUAAUACUUAAUAAUUUUACUAUAUCAAUGAAACAAAUUCUAACCUAAAUUUAUUUUCUUUUUUAUUAUUUGUAGGAAGUAGAAGACAACUCAGACAAAUGCUACACGAUAACUACCGAGAAUGAAGAGGUAGACACUGAUGACUCUUUUACCGAGAAAGUAACAUUCGUAGAAGAAGCCAUAAGGACUGGGGAAAGAUUGGCUAGAAAAGUAUACUCACUUCCAUGUCAGUGUUCAUUCUAUUUACAAUACAUGCAAAAAAAAUAUUAUUCAUGCAAAAUUGCAGGUCUACUAAGCAUUAAAGGAAUAGCGGAUAGUGCAAUAUGUAAUCUGAGCAGCAUGCAUUACAAAGUGCUCUACUGCAAUUAAAUUAAAAAACAUGAUAUAUGUUGAAUUCUUAGACUUUAUUAUUAUACUUUUCUACGUGACAAUUCACAAUUUUUUAGAAAAAAGAAGAUCCCAGAAGAAGUGACCAUGAAAAAAGGUCUAUGACCAGCAAUAAGAAAAAAUGCAAGCAUAGAAACAAAUCCGUAGAAAACAUAGAAAAUAAGGUACUCCAUAAACAAAAGUAUUCUCUUAUAUUUUUAUUAAAUAUUUUUUUAACACUUGACAAGUUCUUUUUUAGGAUCAAUAUAUCAGCAAUUCAGAUGUCAUUGGAGAUGAAACCUUAGUUCAUCCAAAAGGUCAAAAAAAAACAUCUGAAGAAAGGUGUUUGGCUGAAAAGGAAAAGCAAAAAAGUGGUAAUGCAGACAAACACAUGCAGAAAAAUAUAAAAACAUGUCAUAGGGAGGCAGACCAAUCUUGCAAGGAGGUAUAGACGAAACGUGAUACACGACCUGCCUACCUUGUCGUGGAUACCCCAAGAAGAUGUCAUAGAGGUGCAGACCAAGCUAGCAAGGAGGUCGAAACGUGAUACACGGCCUGCCUACCUUGCCGUGGAUAUUAGCCCUGAGAUCAUUCUACUGUUCAAGGAAUAACACUCAAUGCUGCUGCUGCUGCUGACCUGGCUCCAUAAAGUUAUACUCCUCUAGGUGCUUGCACUAACUUUAUCUGAAGUAUUAUUCUCUCUGCACUGUAUAUAUGGUUAUGGAGUUUGCUGGAGUAUCCGGGGCGAAGAACCUACAUAAUACGUCUUGGAACUAAUUGACAUUGAUUCACAGACAAACUCUACAAGGUGCUGUUCUUGCCAUUUUAGAGCAUCCAAAGGACUAUAAAUAACAUAGUUUACCAUAUACCAUAUACCAUAUACCAUAAUAUGUUAGCUAAAAUAAGAGCAUACACAUGUUGCAGGAGUCCAAAAGCACCGGUUGAGGACCAGGUACAUUGAAUUACUAGAAAAAGACAGGGGACAAGGUUUAGGUAACCACAUGAAACAUUUGAAUUUAUUGUACUAUGAACACUUAGUUACCAUGCCAGGAGCACAUAGUUAACACUAACAUUUAGCCACUUUAGAUCAUCCCGAAUCACCAAUGACCCUCAAUAGUGACAAAUUUUGGUUUAAAUGCCAUCACCAAUGAUCCUCAAUAGUGACGUAUUUAGGUUUAAAUCCCGUCACUAAUAACCCUCAAUAGUGACCUGUUUUGGUUUAAAUCUCAUUACCACUGAUCCUCAAUAGUGAUGUGUUUUAGCAAAACAUGUUAUCAAUGACUUGUCAUUGGUGACGUGUUAAAACGCGUUAUCUCAAUGGCAAAUCAUUGGUGACGUGUUAUCUCAAUGUUAUCAAUGUUCUAUUCUUUUCAACAAUACCAGCUCGUUCCUCCGUUUUUAUUCCACCAAUACAAGCACCACCUUGUAACAUUUCCUAUGUUUUUUUUCCUUUUGUCUGUUUUCUCACUACAUGCGUUGCUCUUUCAUGCAUUUUUUUCCAUUCCUGUAUUCCAAAUAGGUCUACAUGAACACAAAAUGAACUAGGGGACAGAAAAAGCCAGUGAAGCCAAUUUUGAGCUUCACCAGCUACUUGCUACAUAAAGUGUGCUAUAGUGACGUGUUUUAGCAAAACAUGUUAUCAAUGACUUGUCAUUGGUGACGUGUUAAAACGCGUUAUCUCACUGGCAAAUCAUUGGUGACGUGUUUUAAAAAAACAUGUCACCGUGAGAGUCAUUGGUGAAGGGUAAUUAAAAUGCGUCACUAAUGUUGUAGCAUUAGUUAUGAUAAUUUAGUAACGCAAAAAUCUACCAUCAGUAUUGAGCUUUAGAGCCAUCGCUAAUGUGGGUUUCUUACAUAGUGAUGCAAGCUCUACAAGGUGCUGUUGCUGCCAUUUUAAAGCAUCCCAUGACUACAUGUUAAUAACAUAGUUUACCAUAUAUCAUAAAAAUAUUAGUUACAAUAAGCACAUACGCAUGUGGAAGAGUCCGAAUGCACCGGUUGAGGACUAAACACAUUGAAUUACUAGAACCAAAUGUAUGUUUAGAACAAAGACAGGGGUCAAGGUUUGGGUAACCGCAUUAAAAACAUUGGAUUUUACUGUACAUGAACACUUAGUUACCAUUACCAUGCCUUGAGCACCUAGUUACAACAAACAUUAAUUUAGCCACUUUAGAGCUUCCAGAAUCGCUAUAAAUAAUAUACCUACGCCGUACCAUGAAAACAUCAAGAAGAGAGACGGAUACAUGGACCACCAUCAAGCGAGUAGUGACAGCACGCACAAGAAUACCCGGAACCUGUUAGCUUGUCUGUAGUGAUCUGUUUUCUUCCCCAUAAAAUCCAUGAGUAUUGCCACAAAUAAUGAAAGAGGCUGACCAAGCUAGCAAGGAGGUAGAGCAAACGUGAUACACGGCCUGCCAAGAUUGCCCUGGAUACGCCAAUAAGAGCGACAGAUACAUGGAUCACACCAAUAUGGUGAAACGUAUAUUCAUCACACAAGCAAAGCUGGUCAGUUUAUCCAUGGUCAAAUUGUGGUCUUUGUUUUCACUUGAGAGCUAAUUGAGGCACUAUAAUAUGGGCAGGCCUAUCUUCAACAGACAUGACAGCUACAGGGAACUUGACAUAAUUUGCUGGGCCGCCUGUGCACAAUUAUUUGUUUUAUUGUCCUUGCAUAGAAUGCUAAAAUACUCUUUACAAAAUGUUGGAUCUAAUAUUUGAAAUAUAGAGUAGUAAUCAUAUAUUGAUCAACAACUUGAAAUUAUCUGUACAUUCUCGGUGAAGCUGUUGAACUAAUUUUUGCAAAUUAUUAAUUCAUCUCAUUACGUAAAGAAAAAAGUAAGUGGAUAAGAUAUUUCGUGGACCACAUCACUGCAAACAUGUCAUGGAGAGACAGACCAAGGAGGCAGGACGUGAUACACGACUUACCCUAGGUUGCCGUGGAACCGCCAAGAAGAGAUACAGAUACAUGGACCACACCAUCUUGGGAGUAGUGACAGCAUAUAUGCAGAAGAAUACCCCGUGCCUAUUUGCAUGCAUGUCUCAAGUGAUCUGUUUUCUUCAGAAAAUACAUGAGCAUUGCCAGAAAGAAUGGCAAGAGACAAACAUGUCAUAGAGACUUGCAUGUCUUGCCUUGGAUACGCCAAGAAGAGGGACACAUACAUGGAUAACACAAAUCUAGUGACACGUAUAUUCAUCACAAAGGCAAAUCUGAUAAUUUUAUCCAUGGAGCAGACCAAGGAGAAAUUGAUGACGGACAUGUGAUCUCUGUAUUCAGUUGAAAGCUAAUUGAGCUACACUAAUAUGAGCAGGACUAUAUUCAAGAGACUUGUUGAGAGCUACAGGGAACUUGUAAUAAUUUGCUGGGCGGCCUGCGCACAAUGAUUUGUUAUACAUAGUUGAAAUAUUUCAAGAAUUUAUCAACCUCAUACUCUGAAACCCUUGGUGCAAUGUACUCUGCUUUCCGAGGUAGACUGUUCACGUAAAAUGAGGUCAUGCGUAAGACGGAAUCGGAUUGGAUUCACAGGGAAUCAGAUUUGGAUAGCACCUUUUAGCAGGUUUUUAGUCAAAUGCAAAUUCGGAUCCACAUGUGGUUGAAUGCGAGUUCAAAAUUCUACUUGGAUAUCCAUUUAAUUUAGGUGAUAGCAAUUAGCACAAAAUGUUGGAUGAACAAAAUCAUAGUUAGACAUACAAUUACAUGUAUGGUUAAAGUAUAAUACAAUACACCAAGAUUAUUCCUUGAAAAUAUUUCUUAAAAAUAUUAUAAUAAAUGAAUAAAUAUAAUUGUGGCCACCAACAAAUAGUCGGUGGUCGCUAAGUUGGAGCCAUUUCUGGUUACUAAUGCGGCCUUCUCCUCGACCAGCGACGACAGCUGAGCUUGUUCCUUCUGACACUAAAUCAUCAGAGUCUUCCCUCCACUACUAUAGAAUGCACCUUUAGCACCAAUUGGGAAAUCCCCUUCAGUAUUGGAUGCUGCAACCAGUGCUAUAUAUCAAAAUGGAGACUAAAAGCCUCGGUCUUGGGUACCGGUUGCAUAACGCAUUACUAAAGGAGGCAAAAGAGAAAUGUAACAAAAAAAAUAUUUUGAAUUCCAAGAAUGUUUCACUAUUCAAGAUGACUAGCUGAGAGUCAACAGACAAGAUACUAGGAAUGUGGGUGCUUGAAUGCAUUUGUACAGAGGUCAUACUAUUUACAAACUCUUCUAUGUUUCCAUAUGACUACCUACUUCAAUGUCACGCGAGCCAUUCAGCUGGACACAUGGCACACUAGCUUGCAUGUCGAAUCCAUGAUUAAUUAUUUGCACUUGUGAUCUCUUACCAGUAUUUGUCCAGACUAGAAACGUGCAACACAUUUUUAGGAUAUGGACACGCAUAUAUUUGGACUAGUAUACAGGUCACCUUUGGAUGCGUACAAGGAUGACCGGGAGGGACUAAUGGAUACAAGGAAGGGACCAUCAGGAUUAAUAUUGACAUAUGCCACAUGACAAUCUUCAUUGUCAUGCAAUCCCUAUCAACAAUCAUGGAAUCCCUAGUGUACUAAUCCCUGGAGGGUUGUGUGGAAAUUUAUUUUACCUUGCGGUGAAAAUCUCAUGAGCAGUCAUUAGUUAAGCUGACUAGCUGAGAUAUAAUAGACAAGCUAGUAAGAUUGGGAGCAUCAAUGCAUCCAUACAGGGUCACAAUAUCCUUUCCAUUCACUUUUAUAUAUAACCCUACGAAUACAAGUCCAACGAAAUGCGGGCCUUUCGAUCAAGAUAAAUUAAAUGGCCCACUUGUAUUUCUAAUCCAGGAUUAACUAUGCCCUCUGUUCAUCUCUUGCAAGCACGUGCAACACAUUUUCACGAUAUGGACAUGCAUGGAGGUUAUUAUACUGUUUGGACAAACUCUGAUGUGCCAUGACCUAAAUGCUUAGGGCCUGUUUGGUUUGAGUUGCUUAUUAUAAGCAACUUAAAGUUGCUUAAAGUUGCUUAUUUGAAGUUGCUUAUUUUUAGUCUAAACUGUUUGGAUACCCUUGCUUAUGAGCAUUGAAUGAGUUGGACAUUGUCAAAUUUGCCCCAUGUGUUGCUACCCCUCCAAUUUGCCUCCCCACCCUUCUUCUUCCUGCACACGUCCGAUCCCGGGGGCCGACGGCGGGCAGGGAGCAGCAGCAGCUGGCCAGGGCGGCGGUGGGGCGGGAGCGGCGGCGCACACCAGCACGCGCUCGCACGCCAGGUGCUAGGGCGCGGCGAGGCAGUCGUCGUAGCCCACCGGGAGCGGGUGCUCGGGCGCGAGGCGGUACUCGACGGAGAUGCCGAGCGUCGGGCGCGCGGCGGCGAGCGCGUUGAGGAAGCGAUGGUAGUGCGGCGACGUCGCGGACUCCGCCACGAAGCCGCCGCCGUGGACGUACACCACCACGGGCAGCUUCGUCUUGCCGUCGGCGGCCGCGGCCGCGGCCUGGGGUGGCAGGUAGAGGCGGACGGAGCAGGAGCCGAGGUCGACGUCCCUGGAGUCGACGCCCGUGGCGGCGUCCAGGCUGGGCCCGACCGGCGGCGGCACGAGCGGGCGCUCGAUGCGGCCGCUCUUGUAAAUCCGACGGGUCUGUGCGGAGGCGGGCGGCGGGCGGGAGCGGCGGGUGGGAGCGGCGGCAGGUGGUGCGGAGGCCGGCGGCGGCGGGUGGCGCGGAGGAAGGGGAGCUGGUGAGUGGUGACAGGGGAGGGGGGGAGAGAGAGGGGGGGUAGGGUGCAUUGAAUGAGGGCAGGAGGUGUAAAGUGCACCUUUUAGUCCCCAUGAGCAACCAUAAGCAGCCCAAGAGUUGCUUAUUUGCUUAUAAUAAGCAACCUCAUAAGCAAGAGUGAUUGGUUUCAUAAGCAACUUAUUUGCUUAUUUUAAGUUGCUUAUGCAUAAGCAUGUGAAACCAAGCAGGUCCUUAACCUAUGGUUGUGGCACCACACAGUACAUAGUAUUUAAUAAUGCUAUUCGUUUGGUAUGUGCACAAGGGCACGCAUGAAAUGUCUGGCCCACGGUAAACAAGUACGGACGCUGCAAAUAAUCUACUCUGCUCGUCCAGUCCCUAGCCUAUAAAUAGAUGCCAUGCUAGCUCUUGUUGUGCUCACAAUUAAUCCUGACUACACACGAGCUUCUCUCCCUGGCCAAGACACAAUCAUAGUAUGAUGAAGAACAUGGCACUAGCCGGCAAUGGUAUGAAGAACUUAAUCCUCGCUGUUCUCUUACUGUGUCUAGUUAUAGGGCAGAUACAAGUGGAAGCUAAGAGCUGCUGCCCAUCCAUUACUGCAAGAAAUAUCUACAAUGCCUGCCGUAUCACGGGUACAUCCCGUCCAACGUGUGCAAAACUGUCAGGCUGCAAAAUUAUCAGCGGGGACAAAUGCAAGCCCCCUAACGACCACCUCACCCUUGACCCGGACACUGGUAAAUAAUAAAUUUAUCUCACUUGAUUUCUUCGUGUUUUGAGUCGUUAAUGUAUUUUCCAUCUGAUGAAACGUAUUGGUUUUGCAUUGAAGAGGAAGUUAAUGUGCUUAACUUCUGCAAGUUGGGGUGUGCGUCGUCUGUGUGCAACAACAUCAACGCUGGUAAGCACCUUUUGCUCAGACGGAGAAAACAAUAAUCAUUAAUUAGCGGCAGCUAGAAUCCUAUAAUCUAAUAUAUUUAUAUAUAUAUAUAAUUUUAUCAGCUCUGGGAAAUGAAGAGGCGAACGAUGCCGUUGAGAGUUGCGACCAAGCCUGCUCUAGCUUCUGCAACGUGCACGUUGGCGCUGCCACCGUGGUUGCUUAAGCAAAUGCAUCCAACUGGAUCGUCCUUGUGCUAAAUAAUUGGAUAUCGUAUCCACUUAAAGCUGCCUUGUGUAGUACGUUUUUGUUUGUGUCUCUCUUUAUAUUCCAAUAAGGUCGGUGAUCUUGAUGCCACACACUCAGACGUGUGUUCAUCUCCAGAUACUACUCCAUGCUACCUGCCCUUUGUGUUUUGUUCAAUAACUGGGUAUCAUAUCCCAGCCAGUGUGCCAUCUGUUUUGUGUUUAUUUCCUUCUAGUUUCAAAGGGGUUAUCAUGAUGUUACCUUCUUUCGAUAUGGUGCUUUGCAUGACUACUGUUGUAUGGUACCAUCUUGUUGGCCAAUAAAUACAUCUUAUCCUAUGACC
rnacentral:lncRNA from 1 species